rnacentral:lncRNA from 1 species
CACCACUUACUGGUGAAUUUCUAACAAAUGGUGGUUUCCCUGGUGGCCUGACUGGUCUGGAUCUUGUCAAAAAAUAUGCUGACUCUAAUUUCUUAAAGUUCUUCAUCAAUCGAGAACUUCUAAAAAGAGGACUUUCCUGUGAUUCUACAAAUGUAUCUGAGUUCCGACCUUCAUUGAGAUUAUCAUCACAUCCCUCUGUGUUGAGAAUCUGAAGACCUGAGCAAAAUCGUUUUCGGGAACCCAAGCUAGAAGAAUCGUCAAUAUCAUAAAUGUUCAGGGGAGGGAGAUUUGAUGCUAAAUGAUCACCCUCUCCUCUUUCUUUACAUGUGCUUCCCUUUUUCUUAAGAAAAGUUUGAUGCUUUGUGACUUCUUCAAUAUCAGAACAUAGAAGAGAAACAGUACCUUGCAACUUAUUAGCUGCAUCCUGCUUUCUUUGUUGCAUUGGUAAAAGGAAUUCCAGCAACAAUUCCUGCUCCUCUAUUCUCUCUCUAAGCUGUAUUGCUGCUUCACGCUCUUCCAAAUAGUCUCUUGGUUCAUUAAGAAACUCGCUUUGCAGCAAUUCUCUGUCAUACAAUACAUGAGAGUAAGACAAUGAAAAUUUGAUUGAACAGAAAUCAGAUGAAAUGUCAAUCAAAAAAGGUACUUUGCUCAGGGUGCAGUAACCAUAAGCACACAAUGUACUUGUUUGAAGACCUCGAAAAAACUCAUCCACAUAUUAAGGCAGAUGCUACCAUAAAAUGUAAAGUAAACAAAGGUGCAGGAAAUUAACAUUCACCCCAUUUUUGGCCGACUACUUGGCUCAGGGUGCAGUAACCAUAAGCAAAAUGAAGCUUCUUUUGGCCACUUGAGCAGCAAUUGAGGAGGAAGAACCCGAUGUCUGAGACUAGACAUAGUUCUGCUCUUGUCUUCCCUUGAAGUGAAUGGGCUGAACAGCUGUUCACAAGUAGAACUAUAUCACAUCAAUGUAGACAGUAAACAGCAGAAGCUCUUAAGACAUUAUUGCAGGCCAUUUAGAUAAUGAAGAACUUUCUGCUUGAAAUAGAAGUCAAAAGUUCAAAACACAUAUAAGAAAUGGUUUUGAAUCCACUCUAAUUUUGAUCGUUAACAUCAUAAAUGCAACAUUAUCAUUACGAACCUCGAAAAGAAGAACUCCCAAUUGGUAGAUGUCUGAAGCACAAGAGCUUGGUGAACCAGCAACCUCUUCAGGGCUGGUAUACCAACUGGACUCCAUCAGCAAUAUUUGCUUCAUUGGAAAUGGUUGUUUCCUUUCUUCUUCAUGUUCAACGUUCCUCGUACCAAGGACUUUAUUUUCUUCUGUUUCUUCCCCUAAUGGUAAAUCUGCUGCAUAAAGCGAGCUGGACUGCAUGCAACUGGCUUCCGAUAAAGCAUUUGUUGGAGUAGAUGCAGGUAGAAAAUCUUCACUUUGUAACCUACUUCUCUGCUGGCACAUGUCAUGGGAGAAAGAAGAAGCAUUUUUAACCUCCACAGUUUGUCUAUUCAAUCCAUCAUCCAAAGAAUCAGACCCAGAAUCCGAGUAAGAAGCGGACUCGAUGAAGGAGACAUGGUUAAAUGAUGACAUGACAAAGCAAGAAGGCCGGACAUUGUGAACAACAAUUCCCUGUGAAUGUGCCACAUUUACAAUUUCGACUAUUUGCCUAAAUAUGUGCAAACAUUCAAAUUCAUCAACAGACCGUUCUGGUUUGUUCAACCAAUGCCUCAAGCUAACAUCGUUCCACUCCAUGUUUUGGACAAAAUGGUCAACUGCAGCUUCAUCCUCACAAACCCCAGAUAAAGUACCAGCCUGGUUUUUUAGGUUUUGACGAGCCAGAACAACCCUAUCAGUCUCCUUUCUAAACCCAGAGUUGUAAGAUGCGGAUCUUAGAUUCCUGUUGGUGACUACUGAAGUAUUAAAUCCCCUAUAACUACCAGACUUCUGCCAAGCAGACUCAGAUGAGCCCUCCAUGGUUACCCCCCUUGGGCUGCAUGUAAGCCAGAACAAACGCAUCCAAGAAAUGGAGGAAUUCGCCUGCUACUACCACAUUCGCUAACUUCCACCAUUACCAUCUUCAAUCAAUACCUUAUUUCACAGAAAUAGCAAAAAGAACCUUGCUUCUGAUCAAGCCAAAGCUCAAUAACUCAGCUCCUCGAAUAAAAAUACUAACCCUUGCAGGGCAGCGGACACUAGAAAAUAAGAUGAAAUCUUUUAGCAAGCACACUUCUCCUGAGACAACCGCAACCAGCCUAACAUCAAUAAACCAAUAAGAAAAUUUAAAAAAAGUAGAGAAAAAUCAACACUUACAUUAUACCACACACAUUUUUCCUUUCCUUUCUUCAUCCACCGGAAUUAUAAAACUAAGUCCUCACACGUGCACUGUUCAACACCAAAACAACACAAGCACCAGCACAAAAAAAAAAAUCAAAGACAAGUACAAUAAUAUCCAGAAAAGGAGAGAAACUGAAGAUACCCUUUUUACAAUAUAGAAUUAGAAACACGUACCCAGAGGUUUCAUCAAAAAAACAACACAUGCAUCAGAACCAACAAAAGCCCACACACAAUAAUAUUAUAUACAGCCAUUUAAAAGAAGAGCUAGAGAGAAGGAGGGAGGGAUAAGUACCUGUAGCAGCACCAAGAAUGGAUAUUUCUGAUCCUGCUAGACCAAAAGAGAACCACACAACACAACAAGACUUUAGUUACUACACUCCACUAAACACUACAGCCUCAUAAAUUCCCUCAUUUUUCCCUCACAACUUCAAAAAUAAAAUCAAACAAAACCCCUCCACAAAAGAAAAAAUCAACAUGUUUCAAAUAAAAAAAGGAAAAAAAUACCUCUCUCUCUCUCUCUCUCUCUCAUGCUCUGUUUCACUCUAUAUAUUAUAUAGUUCUUCAUGAAAUUAUUAUGAUAUUCUUUCUUUUUUAAGCCACAAGCUCAUGGUUCGCUCUUUGGCUCAUCUCCCCGCUUUAUUCCAUUUGAGUUACGUGGCACCACCAUAGCCUCAACCUUGUUUGUUUAUUUCUUUGCAAAGAAGCCAAAAGGGAUGGUAAAUUUGAAAACUUUGUGGGCCAUCAGUGCCAAAAAAAAAAAAAAACUGUUCUUGAUGAAAAUAAAGAUCUUGGCUUUCUAGAAUUGGAAACUCAAGGUGAGAACAUGAAAAGCAAAUAAGAGCAUGCCUUACAGGUGUGAAUCAUUAAACUAAUCUGAUGAUGUGAUUCUUGUUAGAACAGCACGUAAGAAACAAUUAAGAAUACUAUAGUGGGCAGUUCUUGUUUCUUUAAUCCGAUUAGUGACACUAAAAAUAAUAUUUUACAAGAAACACUCACAUGAUAAAAAAGAAGCUAAUAAACUAUUGAUUAAUGUAAUGAAGCACAAACAAUGAAGCUAAAAAAAACAAAUAAUGGUGAUAAAAUCAACCUUAAAAUGUGGGUUUGAGUUUUGUGGGGCCCGGGCAUAAAAGUAUACAAGGAAGGAAGGGAAGAGGAUAAUAAUAAUAAUAAUUAAGGAUUGAUAAGAGAGGAUGUGGACUAGUGUCAGGUAGGACUAAUUAUUUUUGGUUUGGUUCGGUUUUUAUCUAUAAAAAUCAAUCAAAUCAUAAAAAAAUAGACCUGGAAUCAAACCGAAACCGGCCCAAACCGACCGGUUUCGAUUUGAUUUUUGCUAGCCAAAACCAAAAAACCUAUGUUAUUUUUUGGCUUUGUAAUGAGCUUCGUAAUUGGUUUUUAACGGAUUUCUGAUGGGCUUGCAAUUAAUGUUGAUAUUGUCUAAUUUUCAUUGAAGAUUCAAAAGCAUAUUUAAUUUUUUUACCACUAAAUAUUAAUUUGUAUUAAAUUGUUAUUGUCAAUCUUAUGUAUAUUGAGUUUUUUUACCACUGAAUAUUCAUUUAUAUGAAAUUAUUAAUGUCAAUCUUGUGUUCAAUAUAUUUUUUACCUUCCUAAUAUUUUUAUGCUUCUGAAAAGUUUAAAUAACACACUCACAAUCACACACCAAUAAGUUAAAAUUCAAAUUACAAAUCAUUGCCUUUAAAGGGCUUAAAGAAAAAAUAACAAAUAAAACUAUCAUAAAACACUCCAAGCCAAAAAAAAAAAAAUCUUCAUUUGCACAUCGUCUCAAUAAAAAAAAACUUCAAGACCAUUGCAUUUUGAUUCCUGAAAUUCAUAAUCUAGAAUUAUAACAUGAUAAAUUAAAUUAGAAAAUAAAAAAAAUAAUAUUUUUACCAUAUGUUUUCAAUAAAUGCAUCACAAUUUGUGAACUAAUUAUCAUCCGUUGCUAGAUGUAACUUUCCAUCAAAUUCUACAAAAUAAAAAAUUAAACAUGUUAGAAUAAAAAUGUGUUAAUUAUUAAUAAAUCAUAAAACAAAAGAUGUAAGUUUUUAAAAAACAUUACCUGAUCCAAGGUUUUUGUAGGUUUCAAAAUCAUUCAUCAAGGUUGUAUUAUCAAUUGGAAUUGGACCAUGAUGCAACCAAUUUUGACAACAAAUAAGUGUUUGAACUGUUGCUAGAGAUAGAGAACUUCGAAAUUGGUUGAGUAUACGACCACCUGUGCUAAAGGCUGAUUUAGAAGCCACUAUGGAUAUAAAAAUAGCCAGAACAUGUUGUGCAACUUUUGAAAGUAUCUUAUAUUUUGAAGAAACAUUAAUCUUCCACUAACCUAAAAUAUCUAAUUUAUCAUUAUUAGGAUCCUCACAACCAUCAACCAAAUACGUCUCAACCUCAUUUCUAUUUUUCACACUAUCUUCCUCCUGUAAGUGCCUUUUGAAUCGAGGUAAAGUGUUAACAUCUACCUCCACAUCAUCAAUAGCAUCAUUAACAUCUUAUUUAUGCCUAUUAUCAUCCACCACUUCAUCAGCUUUCAAAUAAAACUCAUACAAGCUCACCAAAUUAUCUUUCAUUUUUUUUUGUUAGCAAUUGUGCUUUGUUAUAAUCAUACAACUCACCAAAAAAAAAUUUCACAUAUGUUAACUUAAGACGUGGAUCCAAAACAUUAGCCACAUACAAUAAAAAAUUUUGAUUUGCUUCACAACCCCAAUACUUCUCAAACUUACUCAUCAUGUUCAUCGUCAUUCCACUCAAAAGAUUAUCUCUACUUUUACAUAAUUGCAACAAGUUUGUAUGCAUGUAAAUCAAUUCAUUGAAGAAUGAAUUUGAUGUGACAUGCAAUGAGCCAGAAAAUUUCAAUGUAAUCAUGUAAAAGAUCUUUAAAAACUUCAGCAAAGUUCUAACAUUUUUCCAAUCCUCCAAACUAGGUGGUCCUAUGUUUUUUUUAUUCUCCUUUGAAUCAACCUCCAAAAAGUAACUCAUAUACAUAGGUUCACUUUGACCUAACCUCACAAACACCUUUUCAAACUUUUCAGCAGCUUCUAGCAUAAGAUAAGUUGAAUUCCAUCGAGUUGCAACAUCCAAAUACAAUGAUUUCUUACACUCUAUAUGCAACUUUUCUGCACACUUCUUAAAUGCAAGUAGCCUAGAAGAUAAAGAUCUCACAAACCUAAUUGCAUUUCGAAUCUUAACAACCAAAACAUCAAUCUCUUUCAAACCAUCACACACAAUGAGGUUUACAAUGUGUGCACAACAUCUAACAUGCAAAUGUUCAUUUGACAAUAUAUUAGUUAGCCAAUCUUUCAUCACAUUCUUUAAAUAUAAAAUAGUAACACUAUUAGAGCUUACAUUGUCUACUGUAACAGUUAAAAGUUUAUCAAUCCCCCAAUCUAACAAACAAUUCUCAAUAACUUGACCAAUUGUUUCACUCAUAUGAUUGGAAACUUGACAAAAAUUCAGAAUUUUUUUAUGCAAAUUCCACUCACUAUCAAUCCAAUGAGUCGUUAAGGACAUAUAGUUAAUGUUUUGGAUUGAUGUCCAUGUAUAUGUUGUUAAGCAUAAUCGUUGACCCUUAAGAGCUCUCUUUAAUCUUUCCUUCUCUUCAACAUAAAGUUUUAAAUAAUCUCUCAUAAUAGUGAAACGAGAAGGAAUGUCAAAUCUAGGCUGCAAGGUCCUAAAAAAUAAUCUAAAUCCCUUACCCUCAACAAAAUUAAAAGGCAACUCAUCAAUUAUAACCAUUUUUACUAGUGCAUGUCUACAUUUAUCAUAAUCAUAACCUAUUGCCUUAAGAGUUCCCACACUUCGAUCUCCUGAUUCACCCCCCGCUUUAUUAGGUUCUAAUACCAAAAGUUUUUGCUUCUUAUCAACCACAAAAGGAAACUUUUUGUAUACUUUUAAAUGACUCCGCAUAUUACUUGUCCCAUUAAUAAUAGUAUGACAUGCAUAACCCUUUUCACAAUAAUUACAUUCAGCUCUAGGGAUUGUAGGAUCACCAUCAAGUUUGGUAAAAUGAUAUGCUUGGCAAUCAGACUAUAGUUUACCUCACCCCCACUCCCAUCAAAAUUCAAAUGAGAAGCAUGUUAUUCUGCAUAUGAUCUGCUUGGAAAACCGUAAAUAGAAGUGUUACCCCUGUUCAGGGAGCUAUUGCUACAUCAUACAACAUGUUUACUAUUUGCUAAGGAGCUUCACCAUUUAAAAAAAAAACAGUAAAACCUAUAUCAUCCAUUCAUUUCAGAAGCAGUGGAAUGGUAAGUGAUAUUAUCACACUACAAACCAGAACUAGGGCAUAAAACCAACACAGAUAAACAUAAAAAGGAAAUCUCAAAACUGAUAAAAAAAAUACUAAAUGAAUAACAUAAAAAAAAGCUGACCAAAAACUGGUAGAUGAUAUGGAAAAUGGAAAUGCAAGUUUUAGCUGCUAGAUUUCUAUGUUAUACUUAUUUCAGGUUUUAACUUAUAAUCAUAGGUUCUUUAGACAGCAGGUACAAAUUGUCGAAAAAGGUGUUUGACUCAUUUUUUAUUUUCUAUCAAUUCUUAAAAUUUGUGUCCAAGCUAAUUGACAGCUUCUGUAGAGCUUAUUUGAGUUAUUUUUGUUUUCAUUUUUUGCAGAUUAUGUUUUAUGAAGCCUUGAAAGAUUUGGCAGGUUAUCUUAAAGACUUAAACAUCAUUUUUCUUGUGAUGAAACUAAUUUCGUUCACAGAAUCACAGUAAUAAUAGCCAUGAGGAGACACAACACUAAGCAGGCAUGAAUAAACAUUGAACAUAAAAAAAAACCAAUACUAAAUACGGAUGAUUAUACACUAUCAAUAAUUAAAUAGAAAUUCCUAACAAAUUAGUAAAGCAAUUUGAUAAUCAGUAAUUUCAACAAUUUUUUUUUUCUAACAAUAUUGAAUCAAAGAAGGUCAGUAAUCAGUAUCCAAAUUAACUUGAAUAAUCUAAAAAACACAUGAAUAAAUUCUGACAUAUAUGAAACAACAAGCAGAAUGCCUUCAACAGAAUCAGCACAACAACUGUAUCCUUAUUCUUUGACCUCUACAUUGAAAAAAAAAACAAAUACAAUAAAUUAAAUAGAUGAUAAACAGAUAAAUCUAGGCAAAAUAUGAGCAGCCAUUAGUUAAUUAAUUAAAACGGAAAAAACAAAAUUAAAACUCACUGCUAUAGAACUUAUUCGGUUUCGGAGUAAUGGAGAUUGUGGAGUACCAUGUGAUAUUGUGUAGAUGAAGAGGAACGUCAAUCUAUUUAUGAGAGGCUUGACUGGUUUCAAAUGAUGGAAACACAAACUAUUUUGGAUCUGUGUAACCGUGUUUCUAUUUUCUAAGUCUAAAGAGACUAAAAAGGGAGAGGCGAGAGGGUGCGGGUGCUCUGGUUAGGGUUAGUGGCCAGGGAGAGGGGAGACGGUGAGGGCGAGGGAGAGUGUUACUAUGUUAGGGAAUUAGGGUUAGCGGAGAGAGGCGAGAGUGGCAUCGUUUUCUAUUUAUAUCGUCAACACAAAACACUGGUUAGAGACCUUUUUUUGAACCGGUUCGGUUCGGUCCGGGUUAACCGAUUCCUGCAUUACAAAACCGAACCGAAUCGGGAUUUUUUCUAACUAUUCUAAUCGGUUUAAUCAGUUUUUUUUCUCGGUUCGGUUUUUUUUUGCUCGGUUUAUUCGAUUUUCUGUUUUUUUUGCACACCUCUAGUGUCAGGUAAUCUAAAAGGAUGUUCGGCGCAGUUUUUGUUUUUAAAUGUUUUUAAAAAAACAAUUUAUUCAAAAAAAUAUUAAAUUAAUAUUUUUUAAUGUAUUAAUAAAAAAAUAAAAAUAAAAAUAUUUUAAUAAAUUUUCAAAAUAAAAUUAUUUUAAAAAAUACAUUACAUACCCAUCUCAAUUUGAUGUAAAAUUAGGAGCAAGCGAUUUUUUUAUUUUUUUUUUCAAUGUAAAAUUAGGAGCAUGCGAUCCUUCCUCAUAACAAUUAACAGUGGUAAUGUUUGUGGUCCCUACAUCUGGCGGCUAUUAGCACGAUACUAACCAAGUACUCGAAUUCGCUGCUGGGAGGAUUCCAUUCCAAUAACAUGCAAACAUUAUGAAUGCAUUUUCUAGAAUAAUUAAAAAAACAAAUUAGAAAUUAAGAAGUUAAUAUAUGCGACGAAUCACUUUUUUAUCGGUAUAUUUUUAUUAAAAAAUUUCGGAUAAAAAAUAAUUACAAAUAUAAUUUUUUAGGAAAACAAAGCUUGGCAUAAAUAAAUUCAGGAAAAAAGUUAUCAAUGUGAAAAUAAAAUUAAGAAGAAAAGUUAUAAUUAUAAUUGUUAAUAUAAAUUCAUUUUUUUUCUAUUAAUGCAUUUUUAAAAAAAUAUUUUUUUUUUGUUAUAUAUAUAUUGUUUAUUGCAUACAAACUGCAAGCAAUUAAAUUCAAUAUUUAAAAAAUAUUAAUGAUUUAAAAAAAUAUAUUAAAAAAAAUCUUUUUAAUAUUGCAUGGAAAGUGAAAGCAAUUAAAUUCAAUAUUUAAAAAAAAAUAUUUUAAUCAAAAUCUCUUUCCAUUAAAAGAUUUAAUGAUUUAAAAAAAAGACUUCUUUUUUACAAAUUUUUUUUAUAAGAAGUAAUGUUUUUUAAAUAAGAACUUAUUAUAAUCUUAAUAAUAAGUGUUAAUAAAAAAUAAUAAAUUUAUAAUUUUGACAUGAAUGUAUUAAAAAAUAAUAAUAAUAAUAAUAAUAAUAACAAACUUGAAAACAUAUAUAAAACAAAUAGAUAUUUCAUUUAUAUUUAGAAAAUCAUGCACAUUAAAUUUAUAUAUAAUUAUUCUGAGAUAAAUUAUUAAUAUUAUAAUAUAAUAUACUAAUAUUAUUUGAAAAUAAUGAUAUAAUUGGAUUAUUAUUUAAACAUCAUUUAAAUAAAUUUAUUUUAAAAUAAUCUAAUUAUAAAAUGCUAAAAGAGAUAAAAAAAAUACAAGGCUAAGCAAGCACGGGCUAGAAGAAUAAGCCUACAUGUUCGGCCUACAUGAAAACCUAUAGGUUCUGGGGUCUAGAAACUCAAGUUCGCAUGUCUGAUUUUUCUAAAAAAAAACACGAUGUUCACUUUUAUUUUUAAAAAAUUAGACAAAAAAUAUGUUUUUUGACAGUCAAAUUACACAUUAUUUGUCUACUAUUUUUUCUAGUCAUAAAAAAUGUCUUCGUGAUUGAAAAAUUAGGAUUCAAAAACUUGAACCCCAAAAACCUAGAAUCCAACCAUUUUCCAUCCAAAAAUAUAAAGAAAAAAAAACAUUUAAUGAACCUCCAUUACCUCGAUUUUAAUAAUAAAAUAUAUUUUAAUUAGUUUAAAAAUUCUAAAUUAAAUCAAAUUAAAAAAAAAAAACUCAUGCACUGAAAAUGGCCACGCUUCUUAGGGUUUGGACUAGGAUUUGAGACUCAUGGUUUCUUGUUGGUCCACUUUGAGUAUGAGUUCUCAUAUUUUGUAGCUUCCCUUCCCUUGAACAUUCAUUCUUGGUAAAACAUGUCAUGAAUUUAUAUAAUAAAAACAAUUUUUAUUUUUUAUUUUAUUUUUUAUCUGUCACGUAACUAAGUUUCAUCCUCUUUCUCGUCUCGUCCGUUCACCAAACGCCUCCAUGGUUAUUUCCAUGAUCAAUAAUCCAUUGUCUUUUAAACAACCAUUAAUUUUAUUUGUGGUGGGCAGUUACUGCUAAACAUUCAGUGAACUUGAAAUGUGUUUUCAAGUUUAAGUUUAUUUAGGCCGUCUCUGGACCACUGGUCCACCUUCCUAAAUAUAGACCAAAUUAACAUGAUGUGAAGAACAGAUCCCAUUGUGAACAUGAUAAUCAAAUCCACUUUGAAGGUCCCCCUCAAAGUUUUGUGAUUUUCGAUAAGAUUCCCAGUAGAUGCACAGAAACCCAGAAACCCACAUACAUUUCAUCAAGAAAUACCUUAGAAAGGUCUAGAGGAACAUUAAUCAGUGGCCUCACUGUGUGUGUGUGUGAAGGAGCCAUGGUUACGCUCAACUCUUGGAAAGACCAAUUAGUCUUGCUUCGAUCGUUCUUUGCAUAAGACCAAUAUCCGGCUUCCUUGGCAACCAAAGAAGAGAGUGCGCGUUCAUGACAUGUUUAUCAUUAAUAUCAUUGAAUUCUUGAACGUCGAAUUCAAUGCCUAAAACAUGGUUGUUGGGGGUAACCAUCAUUGGUGCUGUUCAAGAAACCAAGAUGCCGUUGUCAAGAGGCACCUUCAAUACCUAGAGAAGGCACGAGAAUGAAUGCAAAACCAUGACCAGGGGGGGAAUUGUUGUAAGGGGUGAUGGAGAAGGUGAAAGAGGACGAGAAUGACAGGAGCUUUGAGGAGUUCGGGUAUCUUAUGGGAAUCCUUGUAGAGGCCUCUACCACCAGAAAAUGUGAUGUCUCCGGUGAGGGAAAGCGUGCCAGAUUGUAGCUCUGCAGUGCCAUAAAGUAACAAGCUCGAAGAGCUGAAACUGUAACUCGACUGCUAUUGUAAAUUGGAGAAAGGAGUUAUUUAAGAAGAAUAGUAGCACAUGGUGGAGCCCGAAGCUUCAAGAACUGGGUUCGUUACUGUCAAGUGCCAUCCAUCACCGGUCUUGUAAUUGCAACUUAGUGCAUGCACCUCCUUGUUUUGGAAGGAUAAUAACGCACUCAGCAGAUACUCUACAUCUUGGGUAUGGUGGAUGCAACAUUUGUCUUUCCACACCGUGGAAUAAUUUCACAUCAUCCAGAUACUCUACAUCUUAUGGCUAAUACAAAUGCUCUCCAAGAAUGGUCAAUAAUUUUGAGAUUGCAGUGAUAGUGGAAAGUAAAUACAUGUGAUAAAUUGCAGAGGGGAGAUUUAUCAGUGAGCUAUAAUCUUGUAGCUAAAAUGGCCACUAGCUAUCUUUCUAAGAACAUAUACAAAAACCCCAACCAACGGUUUUUAACUCAUAUUUCACAUAAGGAAACCACCAAUCAAAUUACUCUUAAGAGUCCCAGCAAUACUUCUCAUGUGGGGCUUACCUCAUCGACCUGAAACAAAUAAUGAAUUGGCUGAUAUUUGGUAGCUUUCAGCCUGGACUUUUCUAACCCUUGCCUUGUCAAAGCGUGCUCGUCUAACAGCUUCUUGGAUCUGGCGAUCAUGAUCCUUCAGCAUCUGAUCCAUGUUCCCCGAUGGAACUAUCAAUGGACCAGAAUAGUGGAUUUUGUGAGCCUUUGACCCAUAGCCAAGCUGGAUCCAAAUUAACAAGAACCAUGAAUCAGGAAACACACAAAAAAAAGGCUCCUCAGAAUUCAGGAAACAUGAAAUUGUAAAUCAAUCAACUUAGAAAAGACGGUUUAUAAACAACUUGCAUGAUAUGAUGCAGACCAGGACAAAGCAGCCAAGUGGUUAAAAAAUUCACUGAAAGGUUAAGCAAAAAAGCAAAAAAAAAUAAACAAACAACGAAAUAAAAGAAAACUGAAUUGUGAAGUGACUUACAAGGACAGGAUCUUUACUGUUAUUUCUCCCAUCUUCCUUUUGGUGGGAACCUGCAACACCCUGUGACAGACGCUGUGGAUCCUGUUGGGCAAAGGAUUCUGAGGUUUCCUUGAAGGAUCCUGGAAACCGUGCCAUUAGUUUUGGAACUUCCGGUUGUGAUAGGCCAGACCUUUCUCUGUGAUCUUCAGAUAAUAAACUCCUCCGCGCCGCCUCUAAGCUUGAAAUUGUUGACAGGUCAGCCCCCGUGUAAAUCUUAGGAGCAUCAUCGGGGUUUCUGCCAGCCUUUGCCCAUCCAGAACGGUGAGACAGUGGCCCAGAAUGUGAGGCUCUCUUAUGCUGAUGACCCUGAGGAUCCAUGUUUGAUUCUGCAGCUUGUGAUGGUCUAGGGGGAUCAAUUGGAAAGCCAGAAGCAACUUCCUCAGGAUGGGGAUUAAACUUCUCACUCCGGCUCUUGGAAUUUGGACGACCAUGUCUUUUCUGUAAUUAGAGCGCAAUCCAUUGAUAUAAAUUUCAUUAGUAAAAUCAAAUUUAAUCAAAUGGAGUGCCAAAAAAUAAAGGGAGUCAACAGUAAAAGAGAUAAUUCAUGAAAAUAGAACAGCAAGAAACAAUCAAUUGUUUAGGUAAUAAUGCUUAAAAGAGGGCUGGAGCAGCUCAAAAGGACAGUAGUCAGAUGUAGUUUGAUAAAAAAAAAAAGUAUGACUUGCUGCUUUCAAGGCAUAAGGAAGAUGGAGAGUGCGAGAGAGAGGACAAAAGAAAGAAACUAGAUAAGAUUUCUUGUGUCUCACAAAGUGCCUUUUGUACAAAGCUGUUUUCUGUAGUGGAGAAUUGCAAUUUCCAUGUGAUCAGAAUGGCAAGAUGGCACAUUACUUUAUACUUCAUUGUUCUGAGAAGAGUGCAAUAAGAAGUGUUCUAAGACUUCGUGUUAUGACUGGCUUGUUUACUAGUUUCAUCUAUAACAGAGCUAGCUUUAAAAAUAACUUCCUUUCUCUUCUGACCAAUCUUUCAACUCAGCAAUUCUCUGAACCUCACCACAUGGCCCAGCAAGCCUACAUACCCAUCUCCUAAUCACAAUACUUCCCCAACCGCACACACACACAUGCAAAAAAGUGUCCUGAGAGAGCUAAGGUUAUCUUAAAGAAAUCACCUGCAUUGAUAAAACUAGCUCAGCAUUGGCAUCAGGUGCUGGAACAGCUCGAGAUUCUCUUUGCCCUCUUCUUUCCAUGUCAGGUUUCUGGCCCUUGCUUCCUGCUGCUCCUUGUCUGUUUGUGUGAACAAAAAAUGGGAUUGUUAGCAAACUACACUACAUUUACAAGUCAAGGAUUCCAUCAGUGAUAGAAGCACGAAGGAUAGUUUAGUGGAUCAGUAAGAAACACACAAUAAGCAAUAUGAGCAAGGGCACUAAGGCAACUGUCACAACCAAAAUACAAAAUUAUGUAAACAGACACUGCAUUCAUCUGAUUCAAAUUGAUUCCUACUUCAACUAUUUUUUCUCUUUUCUCAACUAGUGCACGCAACUUCUAUAUUUUAACAAUGCCAUUAACUGCGGCCAACAUGCCAAAAACGAAAUCUUUUAAAGCUUUUUUUCCGGGCCUUUGCCAGAAGCCUUCCAACAAAAGAUUAAAUGAACAAUAAAUUGGAGAAAAACUUUUUUUCUGUUCUUUUACAAUGUUUACCUUCUAGCUUCUUCAUCUCGCAUUUUUGCAUCAAACUCUUUGCUAGGAGGAUAAUCAGGCAAACUUGAAGGAUCACAAGGAAGCGGCUUGGUCGUAAAGAACUUUAAACAAAACUAAACAAGUCAAAUACAAAUUAACAGAAAGCAAGAGAGAGAAUUGUAAAAUAGAACUAUAAAUACUAGAGCCAACCUCAGCCAGCCAUGAAGAUUAUACUCAUCUUAUGAUUUAUUUAUUUGUCUAAAAAGAAAAGGUUAAAUGAACACUUGCUACCAACUGCUUUGGACCAAUAUGUUACAUUAAAUGGAUGGUAUUUCUCCAAAAUUAUGUUAAGAUUACAAAAAAAAUAGCUGUGCUGCAUAAGAAGCUAUAAUAUCAAAUAAGGAACUCAAAAAUAAAAAUAUACGAUCAGUUACCAGAGCUACAUCAAAAAGGUUGACAAAUUGCAUGGUGAAAAGAAAACACAAAAAGAACAUACACACUCUUGUACAAGAUGCAGUUUUUUUUUCAAAGAACAUGUUACAUAGAAGGAAGCAUAGGGAAAUGAAGGACGGUUCUCUUUUAAUUGAUCACAGAAAAAAGAAGACAUACACAAAAAGAAGAAAUAACAUAUAUAAGAAAACAUACACAGAAAGAAAACAUCACAGAAAAAAUAAAUAUAUAAGAUCAGUUAACUGAGCUACGUCAAAAAGGUUGACAAAUAGCAAGGUGAAAAGAAAACACAAAAAGAACAUGCACACUCUUGUAUAAGAUGCAAUUUUUUUUUUCAAAGAGCAUGUUACAUAGAAGGAAGCAUAGGGAAAUGAAGGACAGUUCUCUUUUAAUUGAUCACAGAAAAAAGAAAACACUCAUCAACCACCAACUAAAAUUCAAAACUGUUCAUGGUUGUCGAAAAUUCACAAACUAAAUGUGAUACACCAAAAUAUACAAAGUGCAUAAAAGAGUGAAAUUGUAGGAGUCUUCGAGUGAGAUCAAGGGACAGAAAAUAAAUCCUAAAAGCAACACAGCAUUUGGCGACAGAUUAUUGAUGAAAACUCAACCCCGUAUAGUUGCAGGCUAGCAGUGACAAAAUGUGAUUAACAGAAACACAAUCACCAUUGAGAAAACUGGGCUUGGGUGCUUUUGUGAAGAAACAAAGUGGAAUGAAUCAAAGGAGCAGCCACAAAAGUUUGGUAAAGUUGAUUAGUUGUGGAAAAAUACAAUGAAGCAUAAUAGAGAGAUCUGAAACCUAAUAUAUGCAACGAGAUGGCUAAAGACCUGUCACAAUCUAAACCCCUUAUGAUACAACUUCAGAGUGGUGUGAAUUGCCUGCUAUUGUGUCUUUGCUGAUGGCACCAGGUGAACUUGAAUGUUUAACAGGAUUUACCUCCGUCCAAUUACAUAAACACAAACUCUUCCAGUGACUUUUAGAUUGCAACAACAUGGUAUCACAUGAGUUGGAAGGAAAACAGACUUCAGUCUCAAAAUGUAUUUCAGUGACAAUAAUAACAAAAAUCCUAGACAAAAUUAUUAGAAAGAUCGAAUUAAAAAUGAAAGAAAUGUUAAUGAGUGAUUUACUUAUUAGGUAAAAAGAAUUGAAAUAUAUGCACUAUCAUGUGUAGCAAUAUAGAUCUUCUAAUUGAAGCCAAUAUGUAUCUCUGAAUCAAAAAAUACCAAGAAGACCAUAAACCACUUUCCAAUGUAACACCAAAUCCCCCCACCCCCAAAGGGACAAAAAACACUCACAAAAAGGGAAGGGGAAUUUGAGAUACAUAGUUCAUGGAUACCUCAUACCUCACUCCUCAGAGCAGAAGCUGCAGAUCCACGAUCUACAGGAUCAAUGGCGAGCAGGGUCUCCAUAAGAGCUAAAGCUGGUGCUGGGAAUUCCUUAAAUGUUUCUGCAACACAGCGUCUAUAAGGCUGCUGAGGCUUAAAGAUAGUCGCAUGAGGCAACUUUGAUUUUCUCCAAUAAUCUUCAGAAGGUGAGCCACACAGCUUGAAAAUUUUAUGCAGCUGCUCCACCUACAAGGCAGAGGCAUGCAAACUAAUCAUCAACAUUUUAAGUAGCUGCACUAAUGUUUUUUAUGACACUUACAUAGAUUAUAAGAAAGCAGAAAAGGGAUACGGCAUCUUGUGAUAAUUAUUCUCUCUUUCAAUCUUUUCUUUUUGAUAAAUCCUUUUUCUUUUUCAUAUUAUAAGAAUUUUGCAAAAGGAUAAAGAAAUUCAGACAUAUCAGACUCUGUUAGGUCUUUGCUUGAGGUCUCUUUUUAAAUAAACUUUUACAAUAGCUUGCAACACUGCUAAAACAUAUUCUUACUCGAGUUCCCUUAUUUUUACCUUUGACCAAAUUUAUAGAAAAAAUAAGGCACCCUCCAAGGUUAAAGUAAACAUCAAGACACGGUUACCUAUGAUCAACACCCAUGAUUUGUCAAAGGUGAGAACUCAUAAGGUAUUAUCACCUAGUGUUUGUGUUAAGUGUUAUAGUAGUAGAAAGUGCAUGACUAUGUUUCUUGCAUUGCCCAACAGCUUGGAAUGUGGAGUUGAGUUUCUAAAUGCUGAAAAGAAUUAGGCACUUCUGCGUAGGGUGGAGAAGAUGUUAAUGAUCCAUUUAGUGGGUUUUUUGCUGACAGGAUGUAAUUCGACAAUCUUCAAAGCAAUAACUAUCUAGAAGUUAGCACGGGAUAAAAUUUGUAUCUGGCAAUAAUUAGUUCAACAUUGUACUUGGAAUGAUGGCCCAUGAAAAAUAAUCUGCAUUGCAGUAUAUUAUAACAUGAAAUAGCAAGCAUCUAAGAGAAACACUCUGUUUGGUGGAGAACCCUAAAAGACAUUUUUUUUUCUCGAGAAUAGAAAAGGAGAGCACCUCAGUUCUCCCUGGCAUAAUAGGCUUGCCAGCAUACAAUUCCGCAAGUAUGCAACCUGUACUCCAUAAAUCAACAGCUAUCCCAUAGUAGGUAGCUCCAAGUAGAAGCUCUGGAGGACGGUACCAAAGAGUCACUACUCGGCUUGUCAGUGGCUGAACCUGGGCAGGAUCAUAAAAACUUGCUAGUCCAAAGUCUGCAAUUUUCAAGAUACCAUUGUUGUCAAUUAAUAGGUUGGAACCCUUUAUAUCACGGUGUAGAACACCACGGCUGUGACAGUGAUCAAGUCCUCGUAAAAGUUGUUGCAUGUAACAUUUCACCUGCCAGCAUAUACAUAUUAGACCACAACAUCCAAAGCAUACAAGCAUGAGUCAAAUAUCAAACCUGUUCUACCUUUUAAGAUUGACAAUUUACACAUGGAUGAUCUUGGAGGAUAAGGAGCAUGUAAAACUAGCAGAUGUUAACAAUAAAAUACGUAUGAAUUUCAUAGUUAGCAGCUGAUAGCCUGUCACGGCAAAAUGCAAACACCCAUUGAAUUAGAAUCUAUUAGAACCAAACUGCCAAAAUUACCUGGGCUUCUGUAAAAUUCAGACCAGGGUGUGAGGCAAGCCCAGCCAAAUCAUGCUCCAUGUACUCAAACACAAGGUACAAGCUGCAUGACAUCCUUGAUGUAACUAGGCCUUCUAACUUUAUUACAUUAGGAUGGUCAAGCCUGCGCAAGAUGUGAAUUUCCCUGGCCAUGAAGCGAACACUCUCAGGUUCCAGGUUAUCAAACCUUACUUUCUUCAAAGCAACAAUCUUCUUCUGAUCAAGGUCACGAGCCCUAUAAACAUUACUGUAGGUUCCCUGGCCAAUCUGCAUUAUAAUAGAAAUCAUCAGAUGAGGGAACCAAAUCCCAAAAGCAGGUCAUUUCAGUUCAAAGAGGACAGCAGCAGAUAAAAAUAACAGGGCAAACCAUUCUACAAGAACUUGUGGGACCUGAAUAGAAUGAUCUGCUGUUGUCAACUACUCAAAAAUUAUACACAAAAAAGUGCAAAUAGAAGUCCAUGAUAUCCAAACAAGAAAUGCUCAACAGCAAACCUGGCCCCUUGGCCCUAGCUUAAAGAGUAAGAAAAUAGUAAAAUACAAUGGUCAGGGACACAGGAUACAGAUUUGCACAUUCAGACCAGCCUAUUCAUGCAAAUCGCUUCAUCCUUCAAGACUAGAAGUUUGAAAAAAUUCAGCCAAAUUAACCAAAACGGAAUACCAAAAGCAGGGAGCAGGAAAUUCCAGCUACUGAAGUUGUUAACAAGCAUCCAUUUCUUGAAUUAUGCGGUAAAAUUAACAAUACAUGUUCAACUAAAAGUUAUAAGCUAUCUGUCCAUAUAAUAGCAGCUCCCUCACACAUCUUUAAAUGCUAUUGUAAAAUUUAAGUUUUUUUCUUUAGGUGAGAGGGGCAAGACAUGAACUCGAGAUCCUGCCGCCUCUCCCCUGAUUCUUGUGGAUUAGAGCUUUUGGGCUAAACUAUCUCAACAAAAUUGAAAAAGACCUGUUACAAACAAUGUUGAUACAUAGCACUCAUCUUCAUGGACCCAACUACAAUUCAGAUAUCACAUACACACAAUGCAAGUUGAAGAUUAUACCACACUUUUAAUAUUCUGCACUUUGUUUACUGUUCUUCCCCCACCAUAUUUGUUUCAAAGUUCCCUCCUUCCUCAGCACACUAACGCUAAUUGACUGGCAGCUUAUCAAAAUUGGAUUCAUUUUAGACCCAUUGUAUCUAUUUUGAUGGAUAAUUAUCUAAAUGUUAUGGGUAUUCCACUAACUAUAAUAAAAAGGGCACAUUAUCAAAGAAUGGUGCUUCUCGAAUAUUCCCCAAUACUAAAUAGCUCUUAAAUUCUCUUAAUAGCCUCUUACAUUUUCUCAAAGCUCUUGGACUCGAACAUGGAUACUUCCUAUUUUCUGAUAUGGUAAUCUCUCUAACCAAAUAAAAAGGUCUAACUACAAGAAAAUCAUUCAAACCUUUAAAGCAUCACUAAUUCCUACACUGUGAUUGCAGAAACAUGGAUCUUUCUCUGGUGUAAUCAGUAUAAGCCAUUCAAAUUCAAACUCUUUCAUAUCCAUACUGUCUCAAGCCUCUCAAAACUCUAUGCUUCUCAAGCCUCCAGGCUCUGACAAGUAAACUGAACUUCUAGCUAACAUUUAUUUAGAAGUUAUCAGGUUCAAAGAAUCCGUCAUUACUCUUAGCAUGUAAAAAUGAGUUAUGCAGAGCUCUUAUGCAUGUUAUAAAUGAGCCUUCCUAAAUGUAUUUUUCACCACCUUGCUUAUUUAUAAAUAUAAAUAUAACAAGCAUACAUACAACACAAAUCUCAAGGAAAAGUCACUUAAUAGCACCAAAAAAAAGUUCCAUAAUUUUGCUAACUGAAUUCAAGCUAAAGCUAUAAAAUUUGACAACACACCAUAUCCAAUGCGUGCACAAAUGAAAAUGCUAAAAAAUGUAACAGUCCAAAAAGGUUCUAAUUCUAAUUAGCAAUCGUCACUUUGUUCAUUGCAUUAUGAACCAAUCGAGGUGUCAUAAGCAUGUUCUUCAACCAUUAAGUUUGAAUUGCUAAAUUUUGAAAAUCAUAAACAGAAUCUUGCUUGCAAUGGAGCAGAGCUUACAAUAACACAUGUCAACGUUGAGCUUAGAGAUUUUUUAUGAAGUUACUUUAAAAGUGGAAAAAACGAUCAUCAGUAAUUGCAGGACGUGUUCUAAACAAAAGCACAUGUCAACGUUGAGCUUAGAGAUUUUUUAUAAAGUUACUUUACAAAAUGGAAAAAGGGAUCAUCAGUAAUUGCAGGACGGGUUCUAAUGAUUAAAAAUGAGAUAUAACAACAAAAACAAAACGAAAAAAAGGGCAUACCUUGUCCAGCUUCUCAAAUGAAUCCGCACGCCGUGGCAACCAACCUUUGAUUGCCUCUCCAGCCACAGCAGCUAGCCAGGAAGGCCACCCAGCUGCAACCUGCUCCCCUUCAGUGGCUUUCGGUAUGCUGCCCAUACCUGGGUGGUGAAGAACUGCAUACUCUGACUUGUCCCUCUUCCUAUCAACAUGCUCAACCCCAUGCACUCUAAGAGACCCAUUCACUUGCUUGUCAAUCAACAUUGUCCUACCAUCAUUACUAUCAUAUUGAUCUUUCGCUCUAUAUGCUUCCUCUCUCCUUGAAGAGGUAGCCCUUGAUACCCUCAAGUCAGACGAGGGCUUACUUGAAAGUCUCUCUCUUGGGCUCUCCUUGCUAUCCUCAAUUGCAGAGGGUUUACAACACAUGCAACCCAUUAUGUACCUAAACCACCUCCAAAAACACCCUUCUCCUUUAGAAUCAAUAAUUACCCUUCAAAAAUCUCAUCUUUACACUUCUAUCCUCUUCUUCCAUUCCCAUUUUCACACAACCAAACUAUACUUCAUCGAAAAUAAGCAAUUAAACUAUGUAUCUCAAAAUCAAUCACCGGAAGAGCAUAAGCAAUUCCCACUCAAGAUUGAAACUUUAAAAUAACCGAACACUAGAACCACACAAUUUUGCACAAUAACUUAACUGUGACUCAAUGACUGCUCUUUUACUGUGAAACUUCCAUUUCCUUAUCAAACCCACCGACUCCUAAUCCAAAAAAGGAAACCAAUUUCCUCAACCUACAACGCUAAAAAUGAAAAAACUAACAACAACCACCACCUUUACUCCAACAACAAAUUAAGAAUCACAACCUGAAAACUAAAUACCUUUAAAAUGUCAUGCCUAAUCUUUUCAGCUAUCGAAUCAGGUGAUUGAAAACCCUCCACCAAACUCACAAUUCCACUACAAAACAAACCCUAAAAACCCAAUAAAAAAAUAUAGAACCCAAAUUACCAAAACAAACAAACAAAAUCUAAAGAAAGUAAAGAACUGGAAACACUUCAAUAUAAAGCAUGCACCUUGAAAAUGGAAACCAAAAUGGUAAUAAACAAUAUUGUGAAAUGAGAAUUGAAGGACCUCCUAGAGAUGGAGAGAUCUAGGGAAAGAGAGAGAGAGAGUGGAGUAGUGUAGAGAAGAUGACAAGAAAAUGAAAAAUGAGAAUAAAUAUGUAAUACAAUAAAUAAAUAAAUAAAUGUGAAAGUUAUUACUAUAUAUUAAUAUUAUUAAAUUAAUUAAUUAAUGAGAUGGCGCGUAAGAACAGACAGGCUUUUAGAGAAGACUGAGAACUGAAGAGUGAGUGAAGACCCCAAUGCGUAAAGACAUUCUUGGUUUGUGUCUUCUUCUAUCCCCACGCGCUCUGUUUAUAUUGACACGUGUAUAUUUUUUCUUUGCCUUCGUUUUUUUUUAAACAAAACAUUAUUUAUCAUUUGAUGAAUAAUCUCUCUUUAGAUUUUUUACUGCCAGUUUAUACCUGACUGAAUAAAGUAAAAAAAAAAACUAAAUAGAAUAAUUUAACAAAAAAAUAUUAAAACCUAUUUCAUUAAUUUAUUUAACUUGUAGUUUAACCGAAUAAAAACUGAAUGUUACUGUAUUAUUUUCAAUAAAAAAAAACUUGUGUAUAUCAUAAAAUUUUCUCAACUUUAUAUAAUAUUAUGAUAAUACAUAAUUAUAUAAUAUAUGUGUCAAAUAUUAAUGUUGUUUUAUGAAUUAAACCCUAGUCAAUAUUCAUAAUAAAAACAUAUCUUAUAAUGGUAUUGUAGCUUCACAGGAUCCGUUUUCAUCUAUGGUAAAAUUUCUGUGUUUCAUUUUUUACCAUGCUUUAUUAAAAGAAAAACUAAAAAACGUGAGAGUUUCAAUGUAACUCUAUAUAUAAAUUAUUGUAAAUUAUUAUAGUAAAAUUAUUCUUUUACCUUUAAAUAGAAAAAACUUAAGUCCUGAAGUUGGGGUUUUUUCCACUUACCUAUUAGUUAUUGAAAAUUUUUUUGGGGAUAUAUGUGUUUUUUCUAAUUUUUUAUACAGUAAAAUACUUUUUUUAUUAAGAGUCAACAAUAUUUAUAAAUAUUGACCAAGGGCUUUCUUGAUUUUUCUCAAAUUUUUUAACAGCAAAAAUAUUUUUUUGCCCCCGAUAUCAAAAAUUUAUGGAGUUGUUGGGCAAAGGUGUUUAUGGUUUUUUCAUGAUCUAUAUACAGAAAGCAUAUUUUUAACCUUAUAAAAGACCAAAAAAAAAUAAGUUUUUCCUUUAAGGGUGUUUUAAUAUUUUCAUAUGAGUAUUCUGUGUAAUUAACAUGUUCAUGAGGGUGUUUUGGUAUUUUUCACAUUUUCUUUUCAAUUUUUUAUUCUAAGAUCUGUUGAAUGCGUGUUCCAAACAUGCUGAAGAGUGGAUGGCGUUCGUGUCAUUCAGGUGAUGAUGAUGGUGAUAAUUGUGGUAGUGAUAUUUAUAAUGAUGAUGAUGUCAUCGUCGUCGUCAUCAUAAUAAUAAUAACAAUUUCAUACUCACAUUUUUUCAUACUCACAUUUUAUUCAAAAAAUAAUAAUAAUAAUUUAUUAUGAUAGUUGUAGUGAUUAUGAUAUCAAUAACUAUGGUGAUGAUGGUAAUAAUAUUAAGAAUUAUUAUAAUAAUGAUAUUGAUGGUGGUGAUAUUAUAAUUAUAAUAGUAAUAAUAAUAAUGAUAAGAAUAAAAAUAAUAGUAAUAUUAAUUGUGAUGGUGGUGAUAAUAAUUAUAAAAAUAGUAUUAACAAUAAUAAUAAUAAUAAUAAUAAUAAUAAUAAUAAUAAUAACAACAACGAUAAUAAUAACAAUAAUAAUGGUAACAAUAAUAAUGAUAGUAAUCACGAUAAUAAUACUAAUAAUAACGAUAAUGAUAUUACUUAUUGAUAAUAGUAGUGAUGAUGACAGCUGUAAUGUUAGUGAUAGAAGUAUUGAUGAUGAUAAUAACGAUAGAAUACUAAUGGUGAUAAUUCAUCAUUCGAUGUUAGAUUUGUUAGGAAUUGAGUUUCACCACUUUUCCAUGUAUGGAAUUUCCGGUCUAAUAUUCUGGGUUACUAGUUUGAAAAGUGUAAUUGGAAACUCGUUUUAGGAAAAGAUCCAAGAUAAGAGAUUUCAAGAUUCAUCUUAUUGUCCGGGUUUAUAGCAUUGCAAAAAAAUCUUUGUGCUCUUGAUAAUUUUUUUCUACAUUUUUUAAAACAUGGUUUGGCUCGUGGUGGAGCGCAAAAAAAUGAACGAGUACACUUUCUAUGUAUUGUUGUUUAUCGUUGUUUAGAGAGCACUUUUUUUAUCUAUUGUUAUUGAAUUAUUUUUAAAUUAAAAUUAAAAUUAAAAAUAAUAUGGAUCAAACACCUUUAUUCAAACUUACUAAAUUUAUGUAACGAUCACUUUCUUUAUUUUAUCAAAAUUUCUAAAAACCAACAAAUCUUGAUAUUUAGAAAUUUUCCUAAACAAAUAUAUACCAAAUGUAUUUGUGAUUUGAGUAUUUUUUUUAAACAUAGAAAUUGACGAAGUCAUGAAAUCUUCAUAUUGGAUUAUGCUUUCCACGGGUUGUGAUUUUAGGCUAGAGAAGUGACCGAUUUCACCACUAAUCAAUAAGAUUUUCCUACAAAACAAUCUCAUGUUGGAACAAGAGGUCUUCUAAAAAUUAAUUUAAUAAAAAACAUGAGGGAAAUAAUAUACAUGAAAGUAAAGAAUGUAGGAGAGUGUAUUUGUGAAUGUUGGAUUGGGUGCAUUGUGUAAACUUGUUGAAUAGUUGUUCGUGAUUUCUAAAAUUGUUGUCUGGUUGCUUGUGUGUUUCUGGAAGUGUUGGGUGGUUGCUCAUGGUUAUUGGAAGUGUUGGCUGAUUUCUUGUGAUUACUAGAUCGAGACCCAAAUAAUUUUUCAAGGUCGAGCCAGCCAAAAUAAACUGAAAAGCAAUUUGUUUGGGUUGUGGCCUAAAGGGAUUGAAGGUAGUCAUUUUGGUUUGCUGGCCUAAACAUGUUAUUUAAUUAUUAUUAUUUUAAAUUUUAACAAAUUUAUCGUGCCAUCAUAUGUCCCCCAAGUCUUUAAAAAACAUGUUUGGAAGACUUUACCGAAAAAAAGUAGGGGAUAUAAAAUACUUAUUGUUUUUAUACUGGUGAUGUUACUUGCUUUUGUUAAUGUACAUACAUGAGAGUUCUCUUAAUUGUUUUUCAUCAUUUCUGUGAAGAGAAGAGAAUUUAGUCAAUUUUAUGUGUUCUUCCUAGAAUAGAGAACAUUAUUACUUAAAAGUGGAGAAUAUUUCAUGUGAAAACAACUUUAAAGUAUUAUAAUAUUGGAGAAGUGGAGAUUUCAUUAGAGAUCUCAAGUUGAGAUCUUUAUUGGAGACAUUAGAAACACAUUUAGAGACAUAGAAACUUCGCUUGGAGAUGUGGAGAUUUCAAUAAAGAUAUGAAGAUCUCAUCAUGAAGAUUUUUUAUUGAAGACAUGAAGAUAUGUUUUGGAGACACGAAGAUCUUACUUUGGAGAUUUUUAUUAAAGACAUGGAGAAAUAUUACUACUUUUAUUCAAAAGUUAAUGGAGAUAUAAUUUCUAAAAAUUAUUUGAUCUUGGACAGUCCAUCAUAUGAAUUUUUUUCAGUUUGUUCAGAUUCUUUUUUUUUUCUUCAUAAAUUAUUAGAGGUAUCCUUUAAAGAUCAAUUUUCCCUCUUCUUUUUCAAGGUAUGACAUUCCUCAAUGUCGUGAUCAUGGUCAUGGUAAAAGUGACAGGAUUUAUUAGGGUUCUUUGUAUUUGCGCUGCUUUUCUUAGGGCCAGGUAUCAUUUCCUUGAUUGGUAGCCAACACUUUAGUAUAUGUAGUGAUAAAAGGUGUGUUCAGGAGCUCGAAGAAUGUUAGGCGAUCAAGAAAUGAUCUCUCAGUGCUCUUUUUCGAUGCCCUGGUAGGAGAUCGAUAACAUUACAGAGAUUUUGCUCUCUCUAAAAACGAUGAUGUCCCUAUUUGGCAACAUUGGCUUCUUAAACGAUAAUAAGAAUAGACAUAAACAUUAAAUUGAUUGAAUAAAAUAAAGGAAAAAAAUAUUAUGCUAGGUUGCACAUAUUAGAAAUAUUAUCUAAAAAUAAAAAAACUUAUUUUAAAAAAUAAAAUUCAUCUAUACAAAAGAUAAAAAAAAAAUUAUAGAUAAAUAAGAAAAACCUCGUAAAAAAUUAAAUGCAUAACAAAAAAAAUCAUCAAUUAAAAGAGGCUCUUUAAACAAAAUAAAAGAAAGAAGAGGUAUUAAUCUAAAUAUAAAUAUUUAAAAAUGUAUAAAAAGAAGCAUUAAUUAAAAAAAAAAAAAGGUCAGGUGCAGUAGCUAACCUGUCUAGCCUUUUUGUUGGGGCUCGCGCGACUAGGCCCUUAUUUGUUUUCGCAUUUAGGGUGGUGUCGCCCCAAAUGUUUUUGAAAAAAUAAAUCAGACGACACGUCGUUUGUUUUUGCCCAGAUUCCAACCAUUGCAGUGACCAAAAAAUCAAGGCUUAGGGUUUUUUACCCAGAAACACAUUUUUCAACAUAUUUUUGACCAAAAACACCUAUAAAACACCUUAAAAACCGUAACAAACCUAUUUAUAGCCUAAAAAACCAAAAAACCAUCUCAAAAAUCAAAAUCAACCCGAGCUCAUAUAUGUUUUUUCAUGAAUUUUAAAGGUAAAAAAAUCUAGUAUGAACUCCCCUCAUCAAAUAGAAUUAUUUGACACAAAUAUCGACCGUUUUAGUGGUCUAAAUUGGUAUUAACGGCAUCUCUCUCUCUACCGCUAGAAUCCAGCGACCUCUCUCUCUCAUCUCUCAACCAGAGACUAAAAGUAACAAAAAUAAAUUUUUAUACCGAAAUUGAAUUGAAAAAAUAUUAAGACACCAAAAUUGUAUAAUUUGUUUUAUUUUUAAAGUGCGAUGACCAAAGUAUAUCUAGAUCUACGGUGUUUUAUUUGUGUAUAAAUAGUGUCGGCUCUACAGCUAAAAUCACAUGCCUUUUUAGAUUUUUACUUCAAUUAGUUUUCUUUCUCCAAUUUGAAGGAUAGUAGAUAGGCAUUUUAUUUGUGUAUGAAUCCAAAAAAUAAAUACUCUAGUUUUGUUAACGAAUCACAUCAUGUGCUAGGACACGGCAACAAUUGCAGGGAAAACUUGAUAAUAAAGGAUGGAUUGAUUUGCUGGAUUUUCUUUUCCUUUUGCCUUUUUAGCAUUCUUUCUAUAACUUGAUAAUAAAUAUCGUUAGGUGGGUGAAUUGGAUGGAAACUCUUGCCCCUCAUUUGAAGGCCCCACUCAAAAUAAUCAUGAUCCUAAUCUUAGUAAGUUGAAUAAUCAUGUGGCUGUUCAAUGAUUGAUUUUUUUUGGGUAAUGCUGAUUUUAAUAUCAUUUUCAUCUAUCAAUUUGAUUAGGUGGGUCCUUGUCGCUGACAUUUUUCUUUGGAUGAUUGGAGACUUUUUUGACCUUCAUCCAUGUAUGUAUGGGUUUUAACCAGCAGUGAGAAAAAUAGUUGACAUUUUUCUGCUUUUGACAUUAAAAAUAUAAAGUUAAAAGGUUUUGGAAUACACUAUUUUUAUAUAUCCACUAACAUUGUGGAUAAUAAUAGUAAUUUAUAGUAUUGGUUUUUUUUUUUAGCAUUUUGACCUUUUUUUCCUUUUAAGUAUUGGUUUUUUUUUUUAAAUUUAUUCCUCAUAUGAUAUGUUUAUAGAGAUUUAGAGUAAAUAAUUUAUUUUAAUUUGUUUUUUAUAUAGUUAUCACAAUACUAAAAAAAUAUCAUAGCAUCGAGUUGGUAUCGGAAAAAAAUUUCAGUAUUACAGUAUGAUCUAUUUUUAAAAAAGUUUAGUGAAACAAAAAAUAAUUUAGAAAAAAAAACUAAGUUAUUAAACUUUGUGGAGUCAAUGACCCUGUUUCCGAGUUUGGCGAGAUAAUCCUGAUUGCCUCGGUUCGCGGGUUUUGUUGGGUACUUUUUUUUUCUAAUUGAACUUGAUUAUAUGAUCAUAUAUAUUUUUUUAUCAUAUAAUUAAAAAAUAGUUUAAAAAAAACAUGUUACUAUAUUUUAGAAAGUCCAUGGGCCUAUUGACGAGUUUAACUUUUCUGUUUUUCUUUUUUAAAAAAAAUUAUUUUUUUUAUUUCAUCCUUUGAUGUUAGGUUGAUUGAGAAUUGAGUUUCAUAAUUUAUUUCGUUUUGCUUUUUAAGAGGUUAUUAUAUUCUUAAAAAAAAAGUCUUAGAAUUGGUUUGAUGCUUAAUUUUGCGAUCAUCUAUUUUUGUUAUCAUAUAGUUAAAUAAACAAUAAUUUAUAUAAAAAAACAAGUUAUUAAUCCCAAUGGAGUCCAUUAUCAGGUUUGCGAGUUUGAAAUGUUGACCCGGGUUACCCGAUUCACGAGUUUAGCCAUCAAGCCUGAUAUUUUUUUUUUUAGAUUUUGGUCCUUUAAUUUUUCUAAUUGUCUUUUUUUUUUAUUUCACUCUUCUUUAAUAUUGGAUUGUUUGGGAAAUGAAAUUCAUGGUUUAUUUUUUUCUACUUUUUAUAAGGUUAUCACGAUCUCAAAUAAAAUGUCUUUUUUAUGGUUACUGCUCAAUUUUUCAAGUAUCUAAUGUUAUCAUAAAAUUAAAUAAAAAUAAUUUAUAAAAACAACAAAUUUAAUAAACUCAUUGAACUUCAUGACCUAGGUUACAAGAUGACCGAGGUCGAUCUCAUCUGGUAUCAUCUCAAUAUUAAAAAAAAAUUAUUGUCUUAAAGUUUUUUUAAAAGAUAUGUCAUGUUUUUAUUGGUCAUCUAAGUUGUAUUUAGACCCAUUAAAUUGAAUGAUUCACUUUGGAUCAACUCUUACGCGAUUUAAUUCAAAACUCGAGUAAGGAAAAGAGUCGAGUUGGCAGGUUUCAAGAUCAAACCGCUUGAUUGGAUUUAAUGAUACUACAAAAAAAUAUCACCAUACUCUUAACAUUUUUUUAUGUUUAGAAAAAGAAUAGUCUGACUCACAGUGAAAUGCAAGCAAAUGUAUUAAAACAAGAAUGUGUGACAUAAGCUCGUAUAUUUACAUUGCUCAUAGUUAGAUUAUUGGGGAAUUACAAAAUUGUCAAGAAGAGUGAUAAAUUGAUAGUUGGAGGCAAGGUUGUCAAAAACGCAUUUUUGACACGACAUGAAAAAUACAAAAUAAACUCGGAUCGUAAAAACGGAUCGUAAAAUCGUAAGGAAUUUUUUCAAGAGAAGCCUAUUGUCCCAAAUUCAAAGAAGAUGAUACAAAUAAAACAAUGUUCUGGAAAGGAAUAAACAUUACCAGCAAUGCUUUCAUAAUCACAAAGACACCAUAACACCAUCCCACGCAAAUUCAAAGAAAAUCAAUACAAACAAAACAAUGUUCUGGAAGGAAACAGACAUUACCAGUAAUGCUUUCAUGGACAGGGACAUUGGUGACCAGUUCCUUCACACUCAAACGUUUGCACAACAACGUUGUAAAAUUCAUAAUGUUCAAUCACCAAAUAGUUAAAAAACCUGCAAAGAAAAAAACAUCGCAUCAAAAGUUUGAACCAUCAAUAACAAAAGACACGCUGAAAUGCAGAGAGAAAAGAGGACACGAAGCAAAGCAAAACCAAGGUUUUUAUUUUUUUUCUUCGAAUACAUAAACCUGUUCAAACUGUCCACAUAGCAAAACAACAACAUUGAGACCUGCCAACAUUACAGGUAACCUCCAUAUGCAAUCUGUGAUUGUUCCUGCACAAACACACUAAUCAGUUCUACCCCAUAGAUUGAUCCCUGAAGCUUUUUCUUCAGAAAUGAAUCCUUUGCUCUUUAAACUUUAAACUGCAUCCUUGAUAAUUUGCUCCAUGGGAAUAAAUUCUAAACCCAAGUCCAUCAGCUUCUUGGCUCCAUUCUUUGCCCUUAACAACCCAGGUUGGGUAUCCUUCAGCAACCUACACCAAUAGGCACAUUAAGGAUCAAGCAGUAAUGAUUCAUACCAUCAAACAACCAGAAAGAAGUUUUAAGAUCUCAAUGAAGCAGGGGUGGCAAUGGACAGAAGUUUGAUCCACAACACAACAACAAGCACAACUUUGUAUGAGAAUAAAGAGCAAGACUAGUUAAAUUUAAUGUUCCCAAAUUCAAAACCCACAAACCACACUUAUCAAGAAAAUCUAAAUUCACCUCAAAUCAGCCUAUAUACUGAUUUUGCGAAAGAAAUUAUCAUAAGAAAAAUUGGUCUCAUUUCACAAGUUCGAUUACCAAACUUUGCUUUUACUGUAAUGACACCUAACCUAGCAAUAAUAAUCUACUACAAUUUGCUCCAAUAAGAGUUCAAACAUUCUGACAGCUUAACCAAUUAUAUAGACCGACCUCCAGAUAUGAGAAUAUUCAAGAAAUUGGUAAAAGCUAAACAAACAGCUGAAAUAUUCUUCUGAUUUGGGGUUUCAAUCUAUAAUCAGUGUUGUCUUUAGGGUUUUUGCUUUCCAGCUAGCAAGCUAAAGCAAAGCUUAACAUAUAUGAGGACAAAGUGAUAGUAUGCUUGCACGGUUUCACCAUUAUCGUCCAGACUUCCAUAAACAAGUGCACUAACAAGAAAAAAAAAAGAACAAAAAUUGGUUGUUGUUUGAGUUUUGCCUAUGCAGAGACAAGACUCGGUGAGUUGUGGAGGCAGAGCAGUAGAGGUGAGUUGUGGAAAAAGAGGCGAGACUGCGAGAACCCUUGAGAUUUGAGAAAGGGGAAAGGGGAAAAGGGAAAGGGGAAAGGGGAGGGUGACGGUGUGUCGGGGAGGGGAGACAGAGUCAGUUUAUUUUUUUCACUCUCUAUCAAACUCGUUAACUCGGUCCGUUUUUACCGAGUUGACCGAGUUUGGUCGAGUUUGACCGAGUUUGACCAUUUUCGAGUUUUUAACUCGAUUUUACAGGUUAUAUGGGAGUUGACUCGUAAAAUCGUACGAUUUUACGAGUCAACUCGCGAUUUUGACAACAAUGGUUGAAGGGUUAGACUUCAGUUUUUAUCUGAAAAAUAACAUUAACUAAAUAAUUAACUCACAUUAAAUAACUGGUUGGGGAAAAAAUUAAACUUAAAAAAAUUUCAAGUUUGUAAAGAAUUUCUAGGCAGUGUCAUUAAAUUUAGCCUAAGUCAAUUUUAAAAUCUCCUGAUCAAACUCAUCUCUUAGUCCAGGUUUUAAAUUAAACCGUAUGAAAGUUGUCCCGGUAUGACUCAAUUGACCUAAUGAGUUUAAAGUGACCCAAAUAACCAGUAAAAAGUGUAAUUUAACUUUUUUUAAAAAUUUCAAGAUAACAUAAUUUUUUUAAAAAAUAUUGAUACGACAAUAUAUUGUAUUGACCUGAGUUUUGCGGCUUAACCCACCAAAACCAUUACUCGGGUUAUGGACUCCACUUUUAAUAAAAAAAAUUUAAACUACUUUUUAUCUAAUUAUAUGAUAACAAAAAUAGAUGUUUGUAAAAUCAACCACUAACUUGAUGUUGGGAAAAAUCAUGGUGUUUGUUUGAGACCAAAAUAAAUUAUGAAGGUCAAUUCAAAAUCAACCAAAAUUUAAAGGAAAAAAUUGAAAAAAAAUCUGUCAAUAAAUAUCCAAUAUUGAAUGAUGACAUUGGGAAAAAUCAAAGGAAAAAAACCAAAAAAUAGGCUAAACAGACUGGCCUAUAUGGUCCAAUACGCCUCUACCUUCUUUAUUUAUUUUUCUUUUUUAUCAUCCACCCUUUGUUUUUUGAAAACAUAUAUAGUAGGCAAUAUGUUGUAUGUUUUUAUAGAUUCUGACCACCACAUGUGGCUGGAAAGUCAAGCUUCUAACUUAUAGGUAAAAAAAAAAAACAAUUUCAAAUAGUUUUCAAUUGAAAACACCUAAGAAACACCCUAGGGAUCUCAAUAAAUCCAUUUUUUUUAAUCUUAAAUUAGCAUUUAAUCAGUUAUAAAUGAAAAAUCAUUUUAAUCCAUUUUUUAAAAUGUGAUCUACUUUUUUUCAACAAAAUAAAUAAAUAAAAAAGAUCUAAAGAGAACUCUCAUUGUCAAAUGGAACCGAUUAACAAAAAUUAGUCAUUCACUAACUCUUUUUUUUGUGUUUUUAGCGACUUUCCCUUUUCUCUCACAAUUACAUGGUCUAAAUAUGAACAAAAUAAAAUUUAGAACAAAACCUCUCAAUUCCCAAACCAAAUAGACCACAAAGAAAAUUAGACAAAAUCCUAAGGCACAAAGGUGCUAACAUGAUUUUUUUAACGGAAGAUCCUUUUUUAUUUUUUUAAUUGUGGUCCCUUGAUUUUUUUAUUUUUCUUAAAUAAUAAAAUUGGAUUCAUUUUCAUGAAAUUGAGUACCAACCUAAUAGCAAGACUUUUUUAAAAUAGAGAUAACAAAAAAAAUUUGAAACAAAUUAUUAACCUUAAAUCUCAAUAAACACAACAUUGAAGCAUCAAAUUGAAAAGAAAAAAUUGAUGAUCAAAGGCAUAAAAAAAAUAAAGAUGACCAAAGUUAAAACCAUAUAUUUUUUUUAAAUGCCUUAUAUUGUUUUUUUCAAUUUUGGUCCCCUCAUUUUUAAUCUCUUGCAAACAAUAAAAUCAAAUAUAUUUUUUUGUGAAACUUGGCACUAACACCAUGUGAGGAUGUUUUUCUAAGAUAGCGCUAAGCAUAUAAAAAGCGAAUCAAAAUAAAUUAUCAAUCCUAAAUCCCAAUCAACACAACAUUGAAUGAUAAAAUUCAAAAAAAUAAUAACAAAAAAAGGUGUAAAAAAAAAAUGAAGCAACAUUGUGUGAAUAUAUGGUGUUUUGCCUUGUAAUCCACAAUGAUUGUAUGAUGCUUUUUCAGUUUUUAACUAGAUGUAGACUUGUACUACACCACAUGGCCAUAUUAUUAUUAUUAUUGCUUAAAAUGAUGUUCAGGUGAUACGAACAUUUUAAAGAAUGGAGAAAAAUGUGUGACACGAGUCAUAGACCCAACUGGGUUAAAUAAAUUGAUUUUAUUUUAAUUAGAUAAUAAAACAAAUAGGCAAUGACAACAGAUGGACCGAAAAACAUUAUCACGAUAACUUGAAGAAAAAACUUUUUCUAAAAAGGUGAAAAACGAUGUAGCUCAUUUAUCAACCAAUUAAAUACAAGAUGAUAAAAUUAGGUGAAAAUAGAACAAAGAAAAUUGACAUAAGUCAACUCAAGUUAGCAUGACAAACCUAUAACCCGGGUAAUAUAGACCAAGUCAACACGGGUUAGCCCGCCAAACUCUUGGCAUAAGUUAUGAGAUUAUGAUAACUUAAUAGAAAAGAAAAUGAAGAAAAUUACAAUGCCUAUUUUUUUUAAGAGGAAAACAAUGUCGAAUGAUGAAAUAAAAAAAAUAAGUAAGAAAAUGUCAACCCACUUUAACUUCUCAAACUCCUGAUCCGGAUCAUUAGAUCAAAAGCACCCUAUCUUAAAAAACCAUGAUGUCUGAUUCCUAACCAAUCAAAUAUUGAAUGAUGAAAUUAUAAAAAAAAAUCAAUUAAACAAAAGAAUCCAAAAUAGAAAAUAGCAAUUAAACAAUGAAGAACUAGAUUGAAAUAAAAAUAAAUUAGAAAACAACUACAAUUUUUUUAUUGAAGGGUGAAAUUGUAAAUAUAAAUCAAUUUAACAAAAGGACCAAAAAACAAUUAAAAGAAUGAGAAUCAAAUUGAAAAAAAAUAGCUUAUCACAAAUUAGGAUUGAAUGAUGAAAUUGAAAACAAAUUAAAAUUUAACAAAAGGGCAAAGAACAAAAAUUAAAAAUCAAAAGAAUACAGACCAAAGUUGAAGUCUCAAUAAAUAAGAGGACAAGUCUGAAAUUUUGAAUGCUCAAUAUGAAUUUCAAGGGGAGGAGGGAGAAAAGAGAAAAAUAGAAAGAAAGCAUUAUUGUUAACAAACCGCCCCCACUACUGCUGCCUUAUGCGGCCCCAAUAAGGAGAAGAUAUCACGAUGACUCAAUAAACACGUAGAAGGAAAUGUUUUGUUAUCGAGAGACGCCGUAUGCGCCGUUAGAACACUAUGGGAACCUCCUAUAUGCUAACCAUGUUUUUUAUUAUUAUAUUUUAUAUUUAUUAAAAUAUCAAAUUACCCCCAAUCAACUUAAUUAUAACUAAUAAACUAGGUUGAGAAUUCAAAAAAGCCCUCAAAUGCUAGUUUUAGAAUUUUUGCUUUUAAAGAUAUUGUAGUUAUUUUACUGCACUUUAAAAAUAUGAAAUGACCAAGUUAUUUCUGAUCAAUUUGAUAAUGACUAGUGAACCUUGUGAAAAGACUGCAUUACCUCUAAUAGUCAGUUUAAAGAUUUUUGGCGGGAAGAGCAAAAUCAUCAUUACAUUGUUAUAAUUAACAAUGUUUUUCCCUCCCAAAUUAGCUUUUGUUAAUUUUAAUUUUAAUUUAAUUAUAAUUUUCCAUAGCAGUAGACUUUUGGCCUAUAACAAGUUAACUCGAUAUUAUUUGUGGCAAAGGAUAAUAAGAUCCUAAGCAAAAAAAUAAAAUAAAAAAGUUCAAUUGAGUCCUUGAUAUUACUCUUUUUUAAUUUUCUACUUUAAAAAUAAUAAAACGAGGACUUAUAUGUCUUAAAAUGGUACUUGUUUUGGCAUGAGUUUUAAUCGUGGACUUAAUUGGAUAACGUAUGAUAGAUAUAAUGAAAUUUAACUUUUAAAGUUAUUCUAAACAUUACACUAUGUAAAUAAAAUGUUAAAAGAUAGUUCUACUCCAUUCAAUCUUGUAAUGACAAAUAAGUUCUGUAAAAAGAUAAUUUUACCUUGUACGGUUUAAAUUGUGAAAGGAGAAAUAAUAAUUUUAUAAUUUUAUUGUGAGGAUCCACAAUAAAUUAUUAUCUAUUAGUAUAACAGCCCGGCCCAACUUGUCAUAUAUUGUCCACUUUGGGCCUUACUGUCCUCAUGGUUUUGUUCAUGGUGACGCGAGCCCACAUCUGAGCCUGACGCCCCAAAACGCGUAUGACAAGUUGGCAACUAGCACUUGCUAUAUAUUGUCUGCUUUGGGCUUUACCGCCCUCACGGUUUUGUUCCUGGCGACGCGAACCCACAUAUGAGCCUGACGUCCCAAAAAGCGUAUGACAAGUUGGCAACCAGCACUCAUAAUAAGACCAACUACCACUCCCUCACCCGCCGAUGUGGGAUAUUACAAUCCACACACCUUAAGGAGCCUGACGACCCCGUCGGCACAACCGGACAAACAGUGAGGUCGGUUCUGAUACCAAAUGUGACAGCCCCGCCCAACUUGCCAUAUAUUGUUCGCUUUGGGCCUUACCGCCCUCACAGUUUUGUUCCUGAUGAUGCGAGUCCACAUCUGAGCUUGACGUCCCAAAACACGUAUGACAUGUUGGCAACCAGCACUAUUAAUAAGGCCAGCUACCACUCCUUCACCUGCCGAUGUGGGAUAUUACAAUUAGUGUGUGUAAUGUAUUCUUGAUUAAUUUUUUUAGCUUUUGCUUUAAUGGGUUUAAGUUUUAAAGUUUCAUUUAAAAGUCUCCCAAUCAUGCAAUUUGAAAUUCCUACAAUUCAAAUUGUUAGAUUAAUUUAAUUUCAGCAUGAAUUUAUCCCGUUAGGAAUAUAUUGGUUGGGACUUUGAUAUGCUUUGAUAUUACCAUGAUGUUACAUGGAAUCAAAGAUUUCUAAACACAUUUUUUCUUUCCCUCUCAUUAAUUAUAACUUAUAAGUGAAUGGUUAAAAAUACCAGUUUCAUAAAAACAAAAUGAUAAAAAGAAUUGAAAAGAGAUUAUGCAAGAAGGUCCUCUUGUCCUAUAUGCCAAAGAUUUUAUGAUGUUUUAUCAAAAUAUGAAACAUAGAUUAUAUUGGAAAGUUAGGGGUAAAUAUUUUCAGUUCAGUUCGGUUUUUACUUAAAAAAAAUAACCAAAUUAAAAUUUAAAACAAAAAUAAAAAGACUCAGGAUCGGCUCAUGAAAGAAAGCAGGAACUUAUGGAGGCCAUUGAACGUUGGAAUAUAAUGAAAAUUCCAACUUGAUUCAAUGUUGUUGGAACCGGUUUGGCUCGGUCUAAUUCAAUUAGUUUUAAACUCUUAAAUCAAAACCAAACCAACAUAAUUUUUUUGUUUUUCUAAUAUUUAAUUCAGGUUUUUUAGUUAAUUUUUAUUUUAUUUUAUUAAUUUUUCGGUUUUUUUCUCCCCUCUAAAGAAAGUAAUAGAACAUAAUGAAAUUACCAUGAUGCAAGUCUUGGUCGGUCCAUUGAACGUGCACAAUACCUACCAAUACCAUCUCACCUGUUAGCGAACAGUAGCUGUCAAUGUCCAAUAAAUAAUGAAUAGUUUAUCCAUUUGAUAAGGCAUUCAUGAAAUUUAUGGCAGUGUCUUCUGAAAUCGAGACAAGAAACAAGUCAAUGGGACCCCUUCAAGCUCAAGCAUGGUGGCCUCUGAGUUCUUCAUGCUCCACGUAGUUCAACACUUUGUAUUCUAGUUACAAAACUGUAUUAUUAUAUUUCGCCAGCUUUGAUUAAAUAAUCAAGUGAAUUCACAUUAAUAUAUCUGUUUUGUAAUCAACUGCAAGUUAUUUUUUUAAGUUUAUAUAUAUAUAUAUAUAUAUAUAUAUCAACACAUCAAAACUAUUAAAAGAUACUUAAAAAACAUUAAUUUAAUUAUUUUUAAAAUAAAAAAAAUCUAAAAAACACUUUAAAAAACAGGUUGAACCACAUUAUCAAAUACAUCAUUUUCGGAUAUGUUUGGAAUUGUGGUUGUGAUUCAAAAUGUUUUGCGCUUAGAAACGCAUCAAAAUGAUGUUUUUUUAAAAAAAAAAAUUAUUUUUAAAAUCAGCACAUCAAAACGAUCUGAAAACAUAAAAAAUUUAAUUCUUAAUAAAAAAAAUUAAAUUUUUUAAAAACACGGGUUGGAUCUCGUUUCCAAAUGAUCCAUUCAUGGUUGUUCCGAGUAAUUAGCUUUUCAUUAGUACAACGUAAAAUCAAAACUUCUUUUAAAUUGUAGGGGUAACAUUGAAAACAUUUAAAAUAUAAGGGUAGAAGUGAAACAUUUAUGAAUCUCUAGGAGCAGUAUUGAAAUUUACCCUUGUUUUUCUACUGGGGAAACCUCAAUUUAGUCCUCAUAUUUACUUCAACGUCAAUUGAGCCCCAAUCCUUAUGAUUUUGUUAAGUUUACCCCAAGCACAAUUUUAACAUCAAAUCAUUAUAAAUUUUACUUUAUACAAACCAGUUAUUCUCCAAAACAUGAAAGCAAAAGAAAAGAUCAAAGACUAAAACCAGAAUCAAUGAAAUCAGCCAAGAGGAAACAGACCUAAAAGCAUUGUUAUUAAAAUAUAUUUAUGCUUCAUACCUUGCAAGAUAUAUUUAUACUAUAGUACAUACAAGUAUCCAAAGUCAUCUUUUAUUUCUUUUAAUAUAAAUGUUUUAAUAUAAGAGUAAGAGAAAUAAAAUAUAAAAUCUAGAAAAUUUUCUAUGAAAUACCAUACAAAAAGUAACAAUCUUUUAAGGGAACGGGUAUAAUAAAAUUCAAAAAAUUCUUCUAAUGUGUAUUCCCACAUAAAUGAUCCUUUUUAUUUGACCUACAAAAACAAAAAAUAAUUAAUUAUAAUAAAUUAAUAAACCCGGCAUAACUCGGGUGAGACCCGACCUUUUUUUUAUAUAUUUUUUAAUAAACCCAAAAAAUGUAAAGUUAAUGUGUGAAUACUUUAACUUUUUCAUGUGGGAUAACUAUAUUUAUAGUCUAUAUCCUCAUAGAAUAUUUCUUAACCUACACUCACAUGAGAUAACAUACACUCACAUGAAAUGUUUCAGAUAGCUAUAUAUAGCCUAAAACCACAUGAAAUGUUUCUUAACUUUUUUAUAUGAGAUAGCUAUAUAUAGCCUAAAACCACAUGAAAUGUUUCUUUUCCAUGUGGAAUAUUAAAACCUCAAAAUAUUUUUUAAAUUUUUUACCGGGUUGACCCGUUUUGACCCGGGUAACUCGUAUGACCUGGACCCGGCCCCUUGGUCGGGUCAACCCUCAGGCCAGGUUUAAUAACUAUGGUGUACACACUGUCAUUUUAAUGUGGAUUUACACAAUGAAAUGAUCAUUUUGUUAUUUUUAAACAAAAUCAUUUAACUUGCUAUUGGAGGUAAAACAGUCUUUUUCAUGGGAUCCAUCUAUCAAUGUCAUAUUGAUUUGGGAGGUCCUGAUCUUUUUACAUUUUAGGUGCAUAUUAAAAUGACUUAAAUACCAUUAAAAGCAAAAAAUAAAUAAAACUGGGGACAUGGAGCUUUUUGAUUUUUUAAUAUUUUGAUUGCACAAUGAAAUGACUAUAUUUUUCUUAAAAGAAAAAAAAACUGAUAUAAAAAAGUAUUUUAGUCGCUUCAUUAUGGUUUUUAAGUCAUUAUCAAUUUUAAUAAGGGGCAUUUUAGUCUUUUAACAAAUAUAAAUAUAAUAAAAAAUUAAAAGAUGGUAAGCGCGUGCCACGUACACACUAGAGAGAGAAGGGCACUAAUGCCUUUUGAAUUGUGUCUGGCACCUCCUAGCGAUCAAAUGCCGCUAAUAUUUUUCUUUUCCUCCCUCCUCUUUCUCCUCGUCUUAGAUUUCACGCCAACCAUUUCAAAUAUCAAACAUGUCUUGUUAGUUUGUAUUUAUAUCAAUUUUGGUCUUCAUUCUUUUGAUUGCUAUUUGUUUUGUUUUUACGGCUUUUUGAAGUUGAUUUUUUAUUUAUUUUGUCCCCCAAUAUUUUACUUCAUUUAAUUUUUGUAUCUAAUUUGGUCUUUAUUCUUAUGAUUACUAUUUUGUUUUUGUUUUUAAUCCUUUUCUUGAUUUGUUUUUUUAAUUUUAUCCCUUAACAUUUUAUUUCAUUUAAUUUUUGUAUCUUAUUUGUAUCUUAUUUUUUUUAUUGCUAUUUUUUGUUUCUAAUCGUUUUCUUGAUUUAAUUUUUUUUUCAAUUUUGUUUCUCAACAUUAUAUUUCAUUUAAAUCUUGUAUUGAACUUGGUACUCAUUUUUUUUAUUGCUAUUUGUUUUUUUUUUAAUGGAUGAUUAGGAUUUAGGAAUUUUGCUUCAUAAUUUUUUUUGUGUUUGCCUUCUAAAGGGCAAUUAUGGUCUCAUGACAUAGGUCACGGAUUUUAAAAAUUAGCCCGGUUUAACUUCGGUCUUUUUUAGGCCAUUGAUUGCUUUUAUGUGGGGUUAUCCCGAUCUUAGAUUUUAGAUCAUAAGUUGGUCGAGUUAACCCGAGUUGACCCAAGUUUUUUUUUUCAUUUUUUAAAUUGAUUUUUUUAGAUUAGUCUUUCAUCAUUUAGUUUGCUUAAGAGUUGACCUUCAUCGUUUUAUUCAAUUUUUUAUGUGUGAGUUUAUCCAUAUCUCAUGACCAGGUCGUGAAUUUGGUAUGCUGACACGGUUUUUUUUAUCCUUUUUAAAAUUGAUUUUCUUUCUAGAUCGUCCUUAAAUGUUUGCUUUGCUGAUAAUUGAGCUUCAUAUUUCUUUUAUUUUUUUAUGAGGUUAUCCCGUUCUCAUUCGAUUUUGUUUUGUUAUCAAAUAAGAUCGUUAAGACUUUUUAAUAAUAUUUAGAAGGUCUAUUUUUGUAAUAUUUAUAAGCAUUUAUUUUUUUAUUAGUCAUUAUCAUUUUUUAUUGUUAUUUGAUUUUUUUAAUAAUCAAAUUAUUAAAUUAAGAAACUUUAUUGAAUCCAUUCAAAUCAUUGAUCUGUCUCAAAUUUUUCUUUCUCUUUUAAAAACACUAUCAUUGUCUGGACAUUUUUUUUUAACAAUAGAAAACAUUUUGUUAGGCCCGCGUCACAGGGUGGGCUACGUUUCCUAUUUUCUUAAGAGAUAUUCAUAAAAGAAGGGUAGUAUUUGGAAUUUGAUGUUAGUUUAUGUAAAGUUUUUGUUUUUUUUAAUAUAUAUAUUGGGAAUGUAGUUUACAGGAAGUUGUAAAUGUAUCGAUGCUGAGGCUAUUUAUCCUAAACCAAAGCAUAUUUGUUUUACAUGUAAGGCUCCGUUUGUUUGCAGGAAAGUUGUUUCCUUUUGGAAAGUGAAUUCCGGGGAAAGUGAAUUCCGAGAAAGUAUUUUCCGAUGUUUGGUAGUGUUAUGGAAAAUGAACUGGAAAACACUUUCCAGUGUUUGGUUAUGUUAUGGAAAAUGAACUGGAAAAUAAUUUAUUAAUGAAUUAAUUUUUUUUCAAGUUUAUCUAAUAUAUAUUAAAUAUUUAAUAUAAAUAUUUAAUCACUUACAAUAAAAGAAUGAAAUCUAAAAAGUAUAAUGAUGAAUUUUUUUAUUAUAUCUUAUAUUCAUACAUAGCUUAUUUUAUAAAAUAUAACUAUAUAUGUCAUAUCAUAUUAUAGAGAAAUAAGCUUGUGAAAUAUUUUUUAAGUUAAAUAUAUUUUUUUUCAAUUUUAAAAGCUUAAAAUAAGUUUUUUUUUUUAUAUGAAGAAAGCCAAAUUAGUUUAUGGUAAGAGUUAUAUAUUACAUUAGAUUAACAACUAUUUUAAUUUUAAUUUUUCGUCACUGGGAACCAAUUAAAUUUAAUUUAGAAACAAAAAUGUCUUGUAAUUACAAUAAAAUGAUUUAUAAAAUCCUUAUGUUUGGAUGCUGGGCCACCCACCCCCCUAAAAAAACGUUCACAUGUUUGUUCACAUGUUUUGUGAACAAAAGAAAGGAAAAUGUUUUCCUUAAAAUAAGGAAAGGAAAACACUUUCCUGGCUUAAAGUGUAUUAUCUUCCUUUGACCGGAAUUUGAAUUCCUUUGACUAGUUUUCCUUAUAGUUGUCAAACAUUGGAAAGUGGGGAAAAUGGUUUCCAGGAAAAUGAAUUCCUGGAAACAAACAAGGCAUAAGGUUGAAGUGUGAUUAUAAACCCUUUUGAUUUGUACUAGAUUUUUUUUACCUGCGCUACGUUGUGGGAUGGGUUUAUUUUUUUAAUAUAAAAAAGAUAUUCAAAUAAUGAUAACAUGAGUGAAUUCAGAUUAACUUAACUAACCUGCGAUUCAAGUUAACCCUAGAGAAAUGAAAGGGAAAAAAUAGAAAGCUCAAGGCCUAAUAAAUCUAAUUUCAAAGGAUAAAAUUAAAAAAAAAGAAACAUGAAAGAAAAAAAACCCGAGUUAACCCAACUUUACUCUAUUAACCUACCACCCAUGACAUGAGAUUGGGAUAAGAAAUUUAAUUUUUUAAAAAUGACUUAGAAAAAAGGAUCAAAGCUAAAUAAAUAAAAAAACAUUGAAGAAAAACCAAGUCACCCUAGGUUAACCUAACAAACCUGUAACUUGAGAUAACCCUAUAGAAAGAAAUAAUAUAUAAAAUCAAAACCUAAUAGCCCUGCGUAAAAGGAUGAAAAAAAAAGAAAAAAAAAUCCAAUGCAACUUGUGUUAACUUAACUAACCCAUGACUCAGGAUAACCCUAGAUAAGGAAAGGAAAAAAAAAUAGAAAGCUCAAGACUCAAUACCCUAAAGUCAAAGGAUGAAAUUAAAAAAAUAAAACAAAUCAAAGUUAAAAUCAGGCUAAUCUUUAAAACCAUCAACUCUUGUCAUGAGACCAAGAUAACCUUACAAAAGACAAACAAAACUCUUCACCAUAAUAUUUUUUUUUAAAAAAUAGUAAUACAAUUAAUGAGGACCUAAUUUGAUCUAAAAACUAAUGAAAGAAAAUAAUAAGGGACUUAAUAAAAAAAUAAAAGGAUAAAAAAAUUUAAAAGAAUUAGGGCUAAAACUAGAUAAAAAAUGAAAUAAAAUGUUGAAGGACAAAUUGACAGAAAAAACAAAUUAAGAAAAGGAUAAAAAAAAAGCAAUUAUAAGAAUAAAGACCAAAAUUUGAUUAAAAAAAUAAAAUGUUAAGGGAAUAAUUGAAAGAAAAAAAGAAACUAAGAAAAAGGAUAAAAAAAAAGCAAUUAAAAGAAUGAGGAAUCAAUUUGAAAAAAAAAAGUGAAAUAAAAUGUUAAGGGACAAAAUUAAAAGAAAACAAAACAGGCCAUGAUAUGGAAAAAAAAUAGUAAAGAGAAUGAGUACUAUAUUUGAUAUAAAAACAAAACAAAAUCAAAUGAAAAAAGGAUGAAAUUGAAAAAAAAUCUAAAAAAAAAUCUAAAACAAUGAAAGACCAAUCAAAAGAAAGAGGAUUAUAAUUGAAAGACAAAAUGUAUUAGAGGACAACUUUGAUUUUUGGCUGACGUAGCACAAAUUUCAAGAAUUGAAAAGAGAAAACAAGGGGACGAAAAGAAAAGUCAACUGUCGACAAACCACCAUGAUUUGAGCAACACGCGCUACCCCAUAAGCUUUGCCUCCACCGGACACUUUAGACAAAAUCUUGGUUGGGAAAUUUUGGUCACUGCUUGACGAGCGCAGAUAGCGUCCACUCCCUAACACGCGUUGUUCACGGGCUAGUAGCCUUUUUUAAUUUAUGAAAAUAAUAAUUUGCCCUAAUCCAAAUAGAGUAUAAGAAAAACUAUAAUAAAAAUAGUAAAAUAUCCUUUGACCAUCUUUUUAUUUUAUUUUUACUUUGAAGUCGAUGAGGUAAUUGUACUAUUUGUAAAAAAAAAGAAAUUAUACAAAAGCUUUCUUAGCCUUUCAUAUUUUUUUUUUGUCUUUUAAAGGCAUUUAUUUAAUUCAAUUAUACUAAAACAAUGUAAACUACUAAACUUUCCCCAAUAAAAUUGCAAAUGAUCUUUGGGUUUUAUGGAAAAUACCAUUCUAGCACCACAAGUAAGGCAAAAACUUUAUACAAAGAAGGGCAAAAUAGUAAUUAUGCUGUCCAAGUCCAUAGUGAAUUACCUCAACAUCCACAACGAAACAAUGAUCAGUUUUAGAGUUUUUUUUUUAUAAUAUUUAUAAGAUAAUAUAUUUUAUGGCCUCACAUAGAAUUCAAAUGCUUAAUGAUAACUCAAAGAAAAAACUCAUUUGUCGACAAACUAAGCCUGCAAUAUUGUAAUUCUUUUGUUUCCUAAAUUAAGUGUAAAAGAUAAUUUUGUCCGUGAUCUAUUACACCACUUUAAAUAUGAUCCUUAAAAACAAAAAAAAAAUCCUACCAGGUCCCUCAUCUAUAGGAUAUUUACUUAUCAAUUCUCAAUUUAAUUUUUCCCCUUUAAAAUCAUAAAAAAAACUUAGUCAUUUUUUUCAAUGCAAUUGGAGCAAAUGAUCUCUUUUUUUCAUCUCUAUUUUUUUCUAGCGACUAUCUCUCAUCUCUCAUACAUAGAGACUAAAAUGUUGAAAAAAAAUAUCAAAGGACUAAAUCAAGUCGACAUUUGUUUGACAACGCAAUAACUCAAUGGUAAUCAAAUUGAUACAAAUUAUGAAACCUGGUCUAUAAUAAACACAAUGUCAAAAGAUUAAAUAAAAAAAUAAAAAAAAAAAUGAAAUCAAGAGCCACUCUAGAUUCCUUCUUAAUGUUUGCCCUUCAUGGUAUGUUGUUCUCACUAAAAUGGAUUUUAUGAAAUUUAUUAUGUUUUGCCUUAUAAAUGCAUGAAUUGAAGUUUAAUAAUCACAUUAAAACCUUACACACGAAAAACAACUUACCUGUAAUAAUAAUGGUAUCAGAAACUCUUUUGGUAAGCGAAUGGUUAUGGAUGUUAAGUCAUGACUUCGUCAUAGUAGAGCACCCUGUAGCUUUUUAAAAGAAAAAAACAAGGGACCUGUAAUGUUUAUGUUUGUUUGUUGCUGUGUCUAACAUAUACCACCAAUCGAUCUUGAAUCUGUGUUUAUAAUCACAGCUGAAAUUAUGUUUUUUUUUAAUUUUCUAUUUUUUUUAAUUUUUUUAUGUUUUUGAAUUGUUUUGAUGUACUGAUAUCAAAAAUAAUUUUUAAAAAAUAAAAAAUAUAUUAUUUUGAUAUAUUUCUGAGUAAAAACAUUUUAAUAAACAACCACUAAUAAACUUUCAAAUAUCAUCUUAACCAUACAUUUGAAUGGUCAUUCAAUAUUUCUAGUGUUCUUACUUAUUGGUGAAUUGAUGAUGCACAUGUUAUCAUCAAUAUUUGUAAUUUCAAAAUCACUUAUGUUGCUUCUACAAAAAAACCAAAAAACUAAUAAGGUUUUUUUUUAUCAUAAUUUUUUUUUCUUAUUUAGACUAUUUAUGAUAAGUGUUUUUUUAUUCAUUUUACGCUUUAAUUAAGAUUAAAAAUUUCUUUUAAACAAUUUUAAAGAUGCACUUCCAAUAUCCUGAUUACUAAAACAUAAAUCAAUCUUAAAAAAUAAUUUUUUAGCAUGCAUAAAAUGUAACUCAUUAAUUGUUUUUUCAAUUUUGAUUUAGUAUUGAAUAAGAAAACUUAAAAAGAUAUUUAUUAUACUAUAUUAAUUAAGUUUUUUUGUCAUGCUUCAUAACCCAUUUUUUACCCCCAGUUUUUUUCAUGUAUUUUCAAAUAUAUAAUUUUUUUAAAGAAUUUAUUUUAAAUGAAAUUUAGUCAAUUCCCAACGUUUUAUAUUUUUUUCAUUUUCAUUUAUUUUAUUUUAAGUGACAAAGAAAAAUAAAAAACUUAAAAACAAUAUAUAGUAAAAAGAAAAAUAAAAAAUUUAGGGAGUGAAAUCACAUGCAAAGGAAGAAAAAUGAAAGACUAGCAAAUGAAAAAUAAUAAUAAAUAAAUAGAGAAUCAAGAUGGGAUUGGAAAAACUGUAAAAAACAAAAAAAACCUAAUUCAAUAAGGAGAUAAAAUAGAAUCUUCCAAUAUUAUUAUUUUUUUUUGACAAAAACCCUUAACAAUAUAAAUAAACAUAAAAAAAAACCUAGAUGGAGAAAAAAAAAGAAGAAAAAACAUAAAAGGAGUCAACUUUAGAAACACAUAGACUAAGAGAGAGAUAAAAAAAGAGGAGAAAAGAUACAAAAAAGGGACAAAGAAAACCUUGCCACAUCUUUUUCAUCUUCUCUCCUCUCUCAAUCACAACUGCGAACCAUUGUUCUUUUCUCCCUCUUCACCACCAAUACCUCCACAAACAUCGACCAUGAUAGUUUCUCCCUCCACCACAUCUUUAUCUCUCUACCCGAUCACAAAACAUCCUUGUUAUUAACUAUAACCUUGGAAAUCAUAGCCACCACAUUAACUAAAAUCGCACUUAUCUCUCUUAUCAUUAUAAAACACUCCAUGGUAGCAACCCUUUGGCAUUCAAUAACCAUGAUCAUAACCAAUAAAGAGAAAAUUGACAAAUAAAAUUUAUCUUUUCAUGUCAACCUCCCUUUUCAGAUCACGACAAGCUUUAUCAUCAACGUAGAAAGGAAAAGAAGGAGCAUGAGAACUUGAUCUAGUAGGUUUAAGGUUUUCAACCUUGUCAUUUUGUACAGUUUAUGUGUUACUUCGUUUACAUGCUUGUCUAGCUCCUGCACAUGACUCCCAUCUGCCACGACUACCCGUUUUUUUAGUAUCUUUUGUUCGAUUCCAAUCGCUCUUGAAGGUCAAAUACGAAUCCUAAUACAUUGAUUCACUUGUUUUUAUCAAUUUGCAAUAUGUGGUUGAUUUCCUAUUCGUAGAUGUUGUAUUUGCCUACAAUGAUUUGCUUGUGUUGAGUAAUUUAUAAUACGAGGUUGAUUUUCUAUGUGUGGAUGUAUUUGUUUUUUUUAUUGUGAGAUUUGUGCUUUAAUUUUCUUAAAAUGAAAAGUUAUGUUUUAUUUUUAUUGAAGAAUUGACCUUGAGUAUGGUAAAAUGGUUUUGUCUUCAUAUGACCAUUUAAGUAUGGUAAAAUGGUUUUUAUUGAAGAAUUGACCUUGAGUAUGGUAAAAUGGUUUUUAUUGAAGAAUUUGCACAUCCAUUAAUUAGUCUUACUUUCAAACCCGAUGGUUUUUAUUGAAGAAUUUGCACAUCCAUUAAUUAGUCUUACUUUCAAACCCGAGUUAUGUUUUUUUCUUCAUAACCUUUUCAAUUAUGGACUGAAAAAAUAGAUUUUAAAAUCAAUUUAGGGGAUUUUUUUAUAAGGUUUUGGAAAAGAUAAGAAUAAUUGAUUUAUAACUUGCAAUUUAGGCAAAAUCACAUCACAAGUAAAGAGAAAAUGAAUCGAUUGAAUAUGCAAGACUAGGCUUUAGUUUUUAUGAUAUUUUGUGUUCUUAGAUAGGAGAGAAGAAAGAGAUUAUAUUUUUAAAUUAAUUUGGGAUUUUUUAGGAGCAUAUUUUGGCUAUUUAUGUUAUAUUAUAUAGGAGGGUAGGUUUGGGUUGUUUAUGUUCACAAGUGCCUUUUAAAAAUAUUUUGCUUGUUGGUUUUUUUUUUUGCCCCUUUAGUCUGAUAGUUCUAUGUUUUGAUAUAAAACUUUAUUUAAUUCACAUUCCAAUUCCCGGGUUUGAAAAAUGAGAUUUAUUGGAAAAUUAUGGAGAGAGAAAGUAAUGGAAUGGUGAGAUUUCGUUGAUAAAAGGUUAAAUUUGGUGUCAAUGUGUUUUUCUUGGCAUAAGAAGUGUUAUUGAGGUAUUUUUGAGCUUUUAUGUUGUUAGAAAAAAUAGAUCGAGGUUAAGAGAAUUUUUUUUUUUAUGCUUUUGAGUUAAUUUAGAGGUUUUUAAGUUGAUAAAUAAAUUUAUCGUGAUUUAAAGGGUAUUUUUGGAAGUAAAAAAAUUGAAAUUUAAUUUUUUAAGUCCUAAAAAUCCUAGCUUGAUUUUCCACCAUCUCUCUAAUGGGUGAAAUUUGAACUCACAAAUAACACAUCAUCUACUUUCUUUUUUAACUCAUUAAAAAAGUCUAAAGGCAUGAACAUGGCCUACUUUUAGGUUUCUUUUUAAUUUCUUUUUAAUUGAAAUUUAAUUUUUGUAAUAUUAAAUAAUUUAAAAUAUUUUAGAUAUUAUUUUAUUAAAUGCCUUUAAAUUUUUACCUUGUUUCUGAAAAAAUAUAUCAGUCUUUUUAUAACAUUAAGAAAUGUUUUUUUUACAACUUAUAAUGAUUUUUUAUAAUUUUAUUUGGUUUCUUUUCCAUGUGCAUGUAUUUUUGCCAUCAUAUAAUUAAAUAAAACGAUAAUUUUUAAAAAAUAAAGUUAUUAAAAUCAAUAAGAUGUGUGAGCUUGAAUCAUGAUUUUAGUGAGUUAACUCAAGUCAAUCCAAGAUGUUUUCAUCUCAAUAUUUUUUAAAAAAAUGUCAUCUUUAAUUAAUUUUAAACAAAAUUAAUUUUUUAUUAGUUACCGAGAUUACCUUUGAACCCUUUAGAUUGAGCAGAUCAUAUCAAAUUAAUUUUCACAUGGUUUAAUUUAAAAUUUAGAUAAAAAUUUAAAUUAAAGGUUUUAAAAAUUACUUAACCCUAUUAAAGAAUCCACUAUAACAAUACAAGAACAUUGUUUUUCCAGCUGUGAUGUCUUUUAGUAAGGAAACGUUUCAGAAUGUAAAUGAUAUUUUUUAAAAAAUUAAUUUUUUUUUGUUUAAAUUUAAUUUUUUUAUAUUUUAUUUUUUUUUGAAAUUUUAAUAUUAAAAAUAACUUAAAAAUUAAAAAAUAUUUAAUUUAUUUUUAAACAAAAUUAUUUUUAAAAAAACCACCACUAAUAUAAUCUUAAAUAUUAUAAAAAAUGCAAAAACAAUAUAAAACACAUUGUAUCCAGAAAGAAAAUAAGAAGACGACUCGCACGCGCACACUGAGAGAGUCAGAUAUUUACCUGCAAAAACAGAAUGAUGAACAAAAAAACCCAUUUUUGAUAAGCUAAGAAAGAAUUCAAAUCUCGCUCUCGUUGGGUUUUAAAUCUCAUUUUCGGAGCCAAAUCCAUUUCUAAAACUUUUUCUUUCUUUUGUUGGCUAAUGUAGGUUGCCUUCUGUUAAUGUUGAGGUUUUGUUUUGUCUAGUUUGGUAUCAUAAUUCUCUUAUGAAUCAGUUUCCCAUGGAAUUCCAUUGAUUUGAUUUAUUAGAACAGAUAGGUAAGAAUUGAAUUCCCUUUCGUUAUUUGAAAGGAUAAAUGGGUAUUAGUGCAUUUGGGAUUUGAUUGAAAUUUAAAAACUGGGUUUUGUUUUCAGGAGUAAUUGCUGGUGGGUUUUGCGACUUAGACCCUGAUUUUGAGGAAACAGGGGGUUUCUUUCUUUUGGUUUGGCAUUGCAUAAGGAGAGGGGAAGUAGAGUUGUAGGUAUUAAAAAUCAGGAGAGAAGUGGGUUUUGGCUUUUGACAGAGAAUGAUUUGUAUAGGAGAAAAGGUGACAUGAGAAGUAGAGUUAUUGUUGGUCCAGAGGUACAAUGAAUGGAGGGUCAUUCGGUCAAAGGGGGAGUUAUGGAUCAUUGCCUUGCUACGGAAAAUUAUCAAAUAUUGCACGAAAACAAUCUUCGAAAAUGCCGCCAGUGAGUUCAAGGGACAAGGAGCGGGUUCUCCUGGUUGUUUGCCGGUGCUUGGGGCGUAGAAGAGUUGCAAUGUUGCUCUUGGUUGCACUUGCUCUCCUAGUUUUCAUCUGGGGUUCCCUUACAGUUAGCAAAGGUAUGGUUCAAACAUGUGUCCUUUCCUAUGAUGUAAAAUGUUUGAGUGUUUUAUGUAUUCUUUUGUUCUACCUGUCCUUAUAUUUUGGUACUGUUGCACUGAGUUACAGGAGGAUGAAAGUUUUCUAAUUACAAGGAAAUAAUCACUUAACAAAGGAAUAGUUUAGGCACCUAUUUAUUAGUUCAUGCUGACUAUUCUAUAUUUAACAGAAAAGAUAAAAUGUAGUAGUGUUUUAAUUCUAUGAGCAUCUUUUAAUUUUUCCUGUUGUUUGAAUGGAAAUGUUUAAGUCAUGUAUUAUUCAUGUCUUGAGAGCAGCUGUAGCAUGCAGUGAGGAGGGGGGGUGGGGAACAAGAAAUAAAGAGGUGGAGGUGGUUCUUCAUGAAUUUUGGUUCCCAUAUAGGUGUGGGCCAUGAUUGAAUAAUGGCCUUGUUUCUAUUAGUUCUCAUUCUGUGCUAAAUCCUUGACAGGAAAGCUGACAGCCAGAGAGUCUUCUUCUUUCUCUCUCUCUAUUUUCAAUCUUGAAUGGAAAGCAUACGAAGACAAAGUUGUCUUCUUGAAUUUAAAACAGGAGAUAAUCAAUCGAUUACAAAUAUUGAUCAGAAUGAAAGAUUCUGUUAUCAAGUUAUUUUUCUGCAUUUAAUUGAUGAUGUCAAAGUCCUGAAAUACUUGGGAUUUUUACUGCUAUUUGUUUUGCUUUAGACUGGUUGAGGCAAUAACUAAUGUGCAUUUUGUGUUAUGGAUGCCCCAGAAACCACAAGUCCAACUGUUAGACCAAUGGAUAGUAUACAUUUUGACAACAGUGAUAUAAUAAGCCAUCCUUCUGUUGCCUGUCGUUCUAGAGCUAAUAGCAUAUUGGACCAUCCAUGCCACAAGUUUGCUCUCCCUCCUCCCCCUCCUUCUGGUGGACGACGGUUUGGACCACGCCGUAAGUUUUGGGUUAUUUUGGUUGAAGUGUUCCUUAUUUUCUUGUUUUUCUGAUCAUUCUAUUAAUAUAUUGGAUUGGACCAUAAGUUUGAGUUGCUACAUCUGUGCGUCAUUUGGAAGUAAAAAAUGACUUCUGGCCUGAAUGUUACUAAAAGUCAUGUAUAUAAUUUUUCUUGCACCAAGAAUGUGCUCUCACAUUUCUGUAACAGAGAAAACUGGCAUGUUUUUGCAAUUAAUGUUAUUAUCUUUCUCAUCAGUGUUUGCUACAGAAGACCUCUUGCAUGUUCAAUUGUAAAUUGAUACAAAAUAACCCUCAAUACCUUUGUAUAAAGUAUGCCAAAAUCUACUCUCUUAGUUGAAGCAAAAAAGUGCUCACAUGCAAUUUAUUUCUGUUGGUGUGGUAUUUACUUUGUUGUCACUCAUUUGUUAUGCAGCUUGUCCAGUAUGUUACAUUUCUGCAGAGCAAGCUAGAGCUAGCAUUCCAUGCUCCUCAUCUGCAUCACCAGUGCUCCGCAACUUAACAUACGUUGUUGAUGAAAACCCAAUUAAAAUUGAAUCACAUGGAGGUUCAGAAUUUGGUGGAUAUCCUUCUCUAAAGCAGAGGAAUGAAUCUUUUGAUAUACAAGAGUCGAUGACAGUGCACUGUGGGUAGGAGUCCUUCUCACCUAUCAUCUUUCUGUAAAAUUAUAAGCAUUGAAGACUGUUUUGCAUGGAUCUCAUGAUCUCUGUCCUCCGUUAUUAUACAAUGUCCUGUAACAAAUACGAAUAACUUAUUUCUUAUAAACACAUAUUUUUCUGUUGGCCGUAUUUUUUAUCAGAUUUGUUAAAGGAAAUAGACCUGGCCGCCAGACUGGAUUUGAUAUUGAUGAAGCUGACCUGAUGAAAUUGGAAGAGUUUCACGAGGUCAUUGUUGCAUCAGCCAUAUUUGGUACUGUUUAGCACUGGACAUUCUGCAAAGAUUUCUUGUUUUAUCCAUGUUUUCUACUUUCCUCAUCAUUGCACUUUCCCAGGGAACUAUGACAUAAUACAACAGCCCAAGAACGUUAGUGAAGCAGCUAGGAAAAAUGUUCCUUUUUAUAUGUUUAUUGACGAAGAGACAGAAACAUAUUUGAAGAAUUCCAGCGCCCUAGAUAGCAAUAUGAGGAUCGGACUGUGGAGGAUUAUUGUCGUCCAUAACAUCCCCUACACUGAUGCAAGACGCAAUGGAAAGGUCAGUUUGCAUUUGUUUGGUUGCUUUGCCUGCUUCUUUCAGAUUUCUCUCUUUAAUUUCCUUGGGCAUCCAAACCUGGGCUGGAUUACAUCACUUUCUUCUUAAUUUUUUUUCUUCCCCUUGUUCUCCUGCUUCUCUGUUAACUCAUUGAAAACAAAGCUAUCAGUUUGUUAACAAAUUUCUGUUUAUCUCUUGGUGAGUCUUCAAGUAAUUUCAAUUUUGGUGCUAAUCCUAGCAUGGCAGAAUUUCCUGAAUAAAUUUCUGUUGAUAUAUUAAUCUAAAAGAUUUUCCUUUUUUUUUCCUUUUCAUUUUUGUUUUGGGCUAUGAUAUUCAAUAGUACCUCAUACUUCAAGUCAUUUUCUUUUCAAUUACUGAAAACCUAAAAUGUUGCUGCAAGAAGUGAUGGAUGCUGUCGUUGUGCUAUGUAAAUGGACAGGUUCCAAAGCUUUUAUUGCACAGGCUCUUGCCUAAUGUUAGGUAUUCCAUAUGGAUAGAUGGAAAGCUCCAGCUUGUUGUGGAUCCAUAUCAAGUUCUUGAGAGGUAUAUUGUUUGUGCUUAAAUUAAGUGGUCAUUGAAUGGAGUCAUUCAGAUAUGUAAAAUGGCUUGUGAAUUCAGUGCAUCUUUUUUUUUAAUUUUUCUGGUAUCUUCAAAUUGAGAUGUAUGGAAAUUUUGUUGUACCUGUGUGUGUAUACUCAUUUUCUUCUGUUAUCUGUCACUGUACCAAUUUCUGGUCCCAACAUGGCAUCACUUCAAAAGUUAUGAACCAUCAUAAGUUUCAUUGGUUCAUCAAUAGGCAACUUACGGGAUUCUGGAAAAAUGCAUGGAAAAUAUAAUUAUAGCCGUAUGCUCUUUUUAUCAGCUGUCUUGCAAUGUUAACAUUAUUACACUGUUAUUGAUCCUACAUUUUCAUUUAAAGCAUUCAAAAAAGGAACUGCUUUUCUUGCUUGGGACAUGGGAAUGUCAUCUUUCUGUUGGUUUACAGUAACUCAUGCUUUGGCAAUGUGUUCUGGAUAUGUUGACUCAUGUUAAGACAGUUUUUUUAGUGUUAGCAUUUACCAUAUAGAUCUUCAUGCAUAUUGCAUUUCUGGCCUCUAGAAGAAGGGGAAAUAGGUAGAUAAUUUUAGUAUAAUUGCAUAAUCUAUGUGUUUGAAUCAUACCUGAGCUGUCCUUUGGUUCAGAUUCUUGUGGCAGCAAAAUGCCAGUUUUGCAAUCUCAAGACACUAUCAUCGCUUUGAUGUGUUUGAAGAGGCUGAAGCUAACAAAGCUGCAGGAAAGUGUGACAAUUCAUCCAUUGAUUACCAGAUUGAAUUUUAUAAAAAAGAGGGUUUAUCGCCAUAUUCCAAGGCUAAGCUUCCAAUAACCAGUGGUAGGUGUAUAAUCCUAUGUGUGUGCGCACGCGCUUCAUGUUCUUGAAGAUUUGUAUUUCUUAUGUUUUCUGCUCAAUGACUGACCUUUUGCAGAUGUUCCUGAAGGUUGUGUUAUCAUAAGGGAACAUAUUCCCAUCACAAAUCUGUUUACCUGCCUGUGGUUCAAUGAAGUUGAUCGGUUUACUGCCAGAGAUCAGUUAAGCUUCUCCACUGUGAGGGAUAAAAUAAUGGCUAAAGUUGAUUGGAGCAUCAAUAUGUUUUUGGAUUGUGAGAGGCGUAAUUUUGUGAUUCAGGUACAUGUUUAUGUGUUGUCUUUCUAUUAUCAGGGGAGAUGAAACCAGUGCAUCUAAAACUAAGCAAUUUGUUAUUGUUCUGCUCUAAAUGAACCUUAUAAGUGAACUUUUCUAAUGAAGUUGGCCAAAAAAGCUGAAUGACUUUAAUUUUAUUGUUAUAUUAACUUAUGUAUUUUUUUUCCUUCCAUGUUUAACAUUGAGCAGCACCUCCUUCCUCUGUUGAAAGAGGAAAGUAUGACAAUUUAUUAUUGGUCUGCUCUAUGUUGCCUGUUUGUCUUAUUUAUUAUUGGUCUGAUUUUAGCCGCAAAUGUUCCUUGUUUCCCAAACACAGAGUUCUGGCAACUAAAUGGAUCCUCUGACAACAGUGUAUUGAACAAAGCUGUCCAGCUACUAUAUACAGUGCACGAGACUGAUCUCUAUGGGUGUCUUUGAUCCCUUCUCUAUUUUUUGAUCCUCCAAGUGUUUCUUUGGGUGUUUAAUGUGGUUACUCCAUGCAUUUUAUCAUGUUCUCCAUACAAGUGACAUUUGAGGCUAAAUUCCGUCCUGGGAGUGCAGCUAGUAUGCUUUGACCAAAUGAUGCUAAAAGCAGGAACGAUCAAAUAAAAACAAUCUUUAAUGGGGAUAAUUAACUUGGAUUUAAAAAAUAAAACUCCUAUGCUUUGGGAUGCUAAAUCCUACUACUAUUAGUUUCUCUGUAACAAAAUGCCACUGUUUUAUGGUACUUUUAUGCCACUUGAUUUUUCUUUUGACUUGCAGGCUUACCACAAAGAUUUAUUGGACCACAUGCCACCUCCAGUUGCUCAUGUUAUUCGACAUCCACCACCAUUACAUCGUGAUAGUUCAGCUGGGAGAAACCCAAGUAAAAAUUCAAGGCGUGGAAGAGAUAGGAGAUCUGGUUCAAGGCAACACCGCAAGGCUGCUGCGGGUAACAGGGAGAAGCAAACCUUUUUGUAGGAGAGGUAAAAGUAGGUGUUUUUUAUUUUUUUUCAUUAUACUGCACGGGGAAGAUGGAUUUGGUUAGAAGUAUUUAGAAUGACCCAAAAACAAAAGCAACCGAAAUUUUGUUUGAAAUUAUUGAUAUCUCAUAUUCUUUCAUUGUUGUAAAUACUUCAUACCAAAUAAGUCCACACCAGCUGCAAUCAUUGAAUGCUUCUUGAUUUUCAUUUACUUGGUGCACGAACAUGCAUUGGCCAUCACUUGUGUAUCUUGAAAAUGUCAGCUUUCAUGCUUUAUGCGUUGUCCAGUUAUAGAAAUGGAAGAUAUACUUUCUACAUUGGCCAUCACUUGUGUAUCUUGAAAAUGGCAGCUUUCAGGCUUUUUGCGUUGUCCAGUUAUAGAAAUGGAAGAUAUACUUUCUAUCCUCUAUACAAUAAAUACCGUGCCAUCCUGAGUGCGGAGCGACUAAUCCUUGUUCUUAGGAGUGUUGUUCAUCUUCUCUUUUGAGCUAUUAAGAUGCACUGCUUAUUCUGCUUUUCUAAGCUUGAAUCUGAUCUUUCCUUCAUGUGUUCUUCCAAGGUUUUGGGAAUGAGUUGUUUAAUUCUAGGGCAUUUGUAAGAUGAGAAAAUCUUAGUGUUUUCAGGCCUACGGAAUGUUUCCUAACCUGUGACUGUACAAGUAAAUAGGAAGAUUUCUGAACUGGCCUCGUCCAUGCUCUUACCUCAAUACCCAGAUUGAAAAUUUUGGUACCCUAUAUGUUGAAUCUCAUGUUUCUCCACUCUUAUCAAAUCCUCAACUAAAUUCAAAAGCAGGAAUUGAAAGUGGAAGGAUAGAUUAUCCUUCAACCCUACAGACAGCACAUAACAUGAUCCUUCAACCCUACAGACAGCACAUAACAUGAAAGGGUCUCACAGGAGAGGAGAGGAGAGGCCUAUCAGCAAGAUACAAGUUCCAGUGGUGAGAAUCGACCAUACACUUAAAAUAACAUACAAUGAAGUAUACCUGCAAAAUAUAACAGCUGUAUUGAAUACAAUAAUGGCUUCUUCUCUGUGAUGAUAAUAUAAUAAUGUGGUUUUGUCAUUCGAUUUGCAUACAGAACAGAGCAAUACAGCUUGAGAUAUGUUAAAAGUAUUCUAUGGAUCCAUUUUUUCAAGUGCAUGCCGAAAGCACUUUUGACAAUUAAAAGCAACCUCAAGUUUUAGCAAGUUCGAGUUAAACUAUAAAGGUUCACACUUUUUAGGCAUUGAUUCUCAUUUUCUGUUAAUUAUUUCUUACUCUUACAGUUCAUUUUAUAAACAAUUUUCUUAAUUCGAUGAUAAAAGAAAUAUCUUCCUAGUAUCAGUUAAAAUUUGAUAACACCUGCAGCUCAACUAAUAAGAUGCAUCGAAGAUGAUGUUGAAGUUAACAAAUUGUCAUGACACUUCCUGUUAGCUUUUUUCUCUUGUUUAAAAUUAUUAUUUUGAAAUUAUUUUAAUAAGCUAAUAUUAAAAAUAAAUUUUAAAAAAUAAAAAAAAUAGGACAUGAUAAAAGUUAUAUUUAUUACACCCUCUGUAGAUUUCUCGUGAGGAAGAAAGGUCGUGUGAACUUGAUCCUCCUACAUGACGAUACAUGGAUUCUAACUUCCAAAAAGCAAAAAUAAAAAAUUCCAAAAAGAGCUUUUCUUCUACAUUUAAGAUAAUUAGAAACACAAAGGGUAGAGGGUCGGCCAGUGAACAUGUGACCCACAAAUGUGGGAUUGCUAAGCACAAGAAGCAAAGAAAGGCAUAAAAAAACGAAGGCAUUUUGUGCAUGGGAGGAAGGUAUGGUAUGGGAUUAUUGAGAGCAAGAAAUCUCUAUGGAUUGCCACUUGAAAGGAUAUAAAACACCAAAUUAUUGCUUUCUCUACCACCUCUCUGUCCAAAUCUACAUACCUUAAUUAAAUAAGUCUGAGCCCACAGAAUUAUUAUAUCCAUUAAUUUAGCUCAAUUAUUAUAUCACCCAUAAAUGUCACAUCCAGAUCAGCACCAAUAAUUUUACCUUCCGUUCCAGUUUCAUUUCCCUUCAAUUUGUUUACAGCUUUAGGGUUUUGGGAUGCAAAAGGGUUUCCUGGAUCUGUCUCUCAACAUCUUGAAUUUGAGGUUAGGAUCCUAUAGUCUUUUAUUGGUGGAUUAAAGGGGUCUUAUAUUGAAAUUUGAGGUGGGGUUUAUGUGGGUUUUUCUUGUUUAAUACACUUUGAUUCAAGAUUUGUUUUCUUGGUACAAUUGGUGGGGGAGAUCAAGUUAUGGUCUUGAUUAAUGGGUUUAUCUUGGUUUUUGAGUCUUGGGUUGCUAUCGAAUUCUGGGCUUUAAAUCUUGAUCAAUGAUUCGAUCGUCUUUCUUCAAGAUCACACAUUUAAAAAAGUAGGUUUGAGGGCUCUUUCAAUAGGGUCGAUGUUACUCUUUUCUUGUAUUGUACUUUGGUAGCUAUGGUUUAAAGGCCUUUUCUUGUUGGGUUGAGCCAUUGUUUCUGAUAGAGUUAAAGAAAGGAGAGGGGAGAGUAGUUCUUUUUGGUGCUUGAUUAAAUGGGAUCCUCUGGCUUCUUUCUGAUAUGUAUGCUUCAUUCUGUGAUGGCUCUAACUUGUGGAGCUUUGAUGAUGUUUUACACAAAUGAGGCCACUGUGUUUGGUCAUGGCAUUGAAAUAGCUACAAAGCUUAAAGGUUCAACACCACAUGACCAACUCCUGGUCCAAACCUCUGAUUCCUUUUCUGGGUUGCUAUUGUUUGCCAUUGGGUUCCUUUUGUUCAUGGUGGCAUUUGUUAAGGACAGAGAGUUCCAGAGUUUCUUUGCUAAAGGUUGUGUCUUGCUACAUGUUUCAAUGGCUUUCUGGAGGAUUUACUUUGAGAGGAAGCUUGAAGAUCUGGCUCGUGAUUUGCCUAGACUAGUUGUUGGUGACAUUGCAUUGGCUCUUUCUUGGGUUUUCUUUCUUGUUUAUUCUUGGAGAGAGAAGUAUGAUUAGCAAGCUACAAGAGUCAGAUAGCCAGUCCAUCAUCGAAUAAAUUUGAGCUGUUAUUGUGGUAGCGUUACGGGUUCUGCCAAGUGGGAUCUUUUUUCCUGGCUCUGUUCUGUAAAUUACAGGGUGAAUCUGGAACUUUAAAGAAAUGGACGCAAAGCAUGGAUCGGAUUCUUGGUUAGUGCGCGUUUUAAAUUCUUGAUUGGAUCUUGAACAAGCUUGGAUUCCAAGAAAAGCUGGAGAUGAGAUCUGGGGGCUGCCAUUUUGUUUUUAAUUGAGAAUCUUCAACUUGAGAAGUUUCUUGCACUUACUGUGGUGCCUCUGUGGGCUUCUUGUAUUGAAUUUCAAUGGCAUUUGUAAAUCAACCUUCUUCAAAUAGAUAUUUGAUAAUAAUUAGAAAUGUGAAUCCCAUAAAAGUUUACUCGUUUGCUGCCAUCUCUUACUUUCCUGGCAAUCUUUUCUUGCUAUUUUUCCAGUCUAUUUGAUUUACUGAUAUUGCAAUUUGCACGCAUCCGCAGCUUUGAGUUUGGGACAAAACUAUGCCAAGACAUUUCCAGGAUUUUGUUAAGCAAUCCGAGGGAGGAAUGAUUUGUCUAAUUAAUCAAACGGCAAGAACUGUAAAUGGAGUCACACCAACUUUUAUUUUUUUAUUUUUUGGUUGUAUAUAUUAUAUGAAUUCUCAUCAUAUUAUAUCAUAUUAUUCGAGCUAUUUCCUCUUUGCAUUUCAAGAAUAAUUUGGAAAAAAAAAUAAUUUUAUUUAUUUAUUUUAAAUUAAUAAUUUUUUAAUAUUUUAAUAUUAUUUUGAUAUAUUGAUAUUAUUUAUCAUCAUAUUUUACAAGUUAUUUUGUAUUUGUAUUUUAAAAAUAUUUUUUUAAAAAAAUAUUAUAUUAUUACUAUUUUUAUUUAUUUUAAAUUAAUUAUUUUUUGGUGUUUUCAUAUUUUUUUAAUGUAUUAAUAUUAAAAAUAAAAAAAAUAUUAUUUUAAUAUAUUUUUAAAUAAAAAUUAUUUUAAAAAAUAAUUAUUAUUAUAAAAUCAAACAGAAUUUUAAUCUUUUAAUUUAUUGAAGAUUGACCUUAAUUUUUGUUGCAAACAUAAAAAAAAAAAGUUAUAAAGAAGGGGGAUUAUACGACUUCUUAUCUUUUCCGAUGCUGAAAUUUUAUCAUUCUAAAAAUAAUAAUUAUUAUUCCUAUAAUAAUAUUUUUUAUUUUGAAAAAUAACUCUUAAAUUUAUAUGGAAGGAAAACUAAAAUUUAUUGAAAAUUAUUUUUAGUUGGUUUGAGAGUGUGAUUAUUUUUUAAAAUAUUUUUAAUUUAAAAAUAUAUUAAAAUAAUAUAUUUUUUAUAUCAUCAAAUCAAAUAAUCUAAGAAAAAUUAAUUUUAUUAAAAAAAAAGAUUUAGCUUCUGUUUCAGCCGCAAUCCGAGUGCUUAUUCUACGUUAAAAAGAAAAGUAUAUGCUGUUAUUGGACCAUGAAGGCUCGGCCCACGGACGCCACAACAUCUUGUCUAGGGACCCGUUUCUUUCUUCUUCUUCUUCUUCUCUCUCUCUGAAGUUUCUAGCAUUCAACCACAACAGAAACCCUGCAGAGCCCCAACUCCUGAAACCUUUGACAAAAUUCUAACGGUAACUUAUUCUUUUCUUUUGCUCUUUCUAUGUUUCCUUGUGUUCAUCUGUUCAUUUAUUGUCUUUUAAGUUGUAGAUGGUCUGUUAUGGUUUAGUGUUUUGCUUUGUUUCUGGUUUUAUUGUUUGAAUAAACUUUUUUCUUUUUCUUUUUUCAGAAUUGUUAUUUGCUUUUGUUUUUUCUUUAAUUCUAAUUGUUAUGAGGAAAGGUCAUCAAAAGCUCAAAUGGUUUUAUCUUGAAGAUGAUUUUUUAGUCAAGAAUGCAAUUUUGUAAUGGCAAAUGAUUAUAAUUGGUAUCAUUAAUUGAUUUUGGUUUCUGGGUAUAUGUUUUGCAUAAAUUUCAAUAUUUAGGUUCCGUUUUAAAGAAGAUACUGUAGUUUUCAAGAUAGUUGAGAAACUGAGAACAUGAUAGACAUGAUCUUUCACUGCUAUGAAAAGGAUGAUCAUGCCGGAGUUCUUAGAGAAAAAGGUCGGAUUUUUACUCGAGGAAAAUGAAUUAUUUAUUUUUUUAAAAAAAAAAGUUUGGUUACUUGAAGUUAUUGAUUGGGAAGCUUUCAUACUGUUGGUUCUGAACUUGGGUGAAGCGCAAUUUUGAACUUUUUAAGUUUCUAUUUUCUGUAUGUUGAUUUUGGGUAUAUAGUUAGUCAGUUGCAUAGAGUACUGCUAUAUAACACAAAAAUAAGUUAGCGAAAAGUUCACAAGCAGAUAAAGUGGCCAGAGAAGUGAUUUCGUUCAACUUUUGGGCUAUUUAUUUUUUGUGCCUGUUCGUGUCCUAUUUGUUACAAAAUAUUCGUGUUAUACAGCUUUCUUCAAUUGGGUAAUUGAGAAGCUUGGUUGAGUUAAGUUGCUUCCUGGAUUUAAAAAGAAAUGGGGUGUCUUUUUUGAGUGGUUGUUUCCUUGAACCCAUAUAUAAGUGCAUUUAUAUUAGGCUUUUGUGAUUGCUUCUCAUGACUGUGUCAGAAUCAGAUUCAUCGGUUUGAUUGAGUAUAAUGUUGACAGAUUUUUGGCCAAAUGUCUAAUUUUUAUGAGGGGAAAUGGGAAUAUGAACAAAAACAAACCUUUCAUGUUGUUGAUUUACCACGCGGAGUACUUAAUCAGGUCUUAAGUUUCUGUCUUAGUAAGCAAAACAGCACUUAAUGGUAUGGCAGUGUUUCAAAUUGUUUGAUGGAGUCGGAUAUCAUACUGAAUUGCUUGUGCUAUGAGCUGCAUUAGAAGGAUGAUUAGUGAUCCCUUUGUAGGAAAACAAAUUGGGAUAUGAGCAAAUCUCAUAUGGUGGAGGACAGUCAUGCAAUGGAACAUCUGAACAAAAAUUUUGAAUUGUUUUAGUGGAGUUGAUUGAUUGGACAAUUUGUAGAACAAGGACUCCAGGUGGCAAAGGCAUUAAUUGGCAAAAAGAGAGAAAAGAAAAGGUGCACUUUUUUCUGAUGAAGAAAAAGAUGUCUCUAUUCACAACAGAAAAAAUCUCCUCUUUUUUUUUUUUCUGAUGAACCAAGCAAUUGCAAGCAGCUAGUAAUGAACAACAAACAAUACAGUAAUGAAGAAAUAGAUGUCUCUCUAUUCACAACAGAAAAACUCUCCUCUAGUGAAUUGUAUAAUCAUUGGAAUUAUAACAACGAAAAAAAACCUAUGUAAUGAGUUUAUAAAUAGAGUAGAGGCUCUUGAAUGAUUUUCUUCAUUCCUUUCUUUAUUUCUUUAUGCCUUACAUGUGUUUUCUGCAGAUUUGUGAUGGGUGGACUGCCUUUGCAAAAUGCUUCCCCUACCCCAGUUGUCAGCCAGGUGUCAGUAAUUACAAAUUCUACUAAAGAAUCAAAGCCCAAGAAGAAGAUCUGCUGUGCUUGCCCUGAAACUAAGAAACUAAGGGACGAAUGCAUUGUGGAGCAUGGUGAAGCUGCAUGCGCAAAAUGGAUUGAGGCUCAUCGACUGUGCCUCCGUGCUGAGGGCUUUAACAUUUGAGUUUGGUAGAUAUGGUUUAGUUCAUAAAUCAAUACCAUUUUGGAAUAUAGAAUACUUGUUUUGGAAUUACACAUACUGAAUAGGAGGAAUAAAGCUAGAAAACACAGGUUUUCUUGACCUUCUGUACUUGCAGUCAUUUUUAUCUUCUUGAAUUAUGAUUUCUUUCCUUCCUCUGUGACAAUUGAAAAUGAUCAGAAUCCUUGGGUGGGGUUGAUAUUGUGUUGUCUCUUCUCUUUGUCAGUGUUAUCUGAUUAUUUUUUGAACCUGUGAUUUUACAGGCAGAGGAAAGUUGUUCCUCUGAUGUAUUGCAUUCCUUACAUGCCAAUAACUCUCCCAUUUGUGAUUCCUUAUUUAAAUUCCAUUACGGUGUUAUGUAUUGUUCUGAACUUCUGAUGAUAGAUUAUAGACUCUCAUCUCGUACUUAUGCAAGCUUAUCCUCACAUGUUGAUUGUUAUCCUUACAAGUAGCAGUUGCUAAGGAUGAAGUGAAAAGUUAUAAUCUGAAGUGUAUUGUCCAGAAUUAGACAUUCUCAUCAACUUUGCUGCAACCUGAAUUAUCCUCUCUGUCACUUUUGAGCCAUUAUAUCUCCCUUGAACUCAAGUGAGCUUGUCGAAGGGCUGAGAAGCAACUCUGAGAGGAUAACUCUGGGUUAGAACGUCUAACUUGGACAAUGCAUCUUCAGACAAUAACAUCUCUUAUCUUCUUAUUUCAUCUUUGCAACUUCUAAUCACUGCAUGCCAGGCCAGUUCUAUCUUCUUUGUCAAUAUCGAGAACAGAUUCUCCUAGUUUUAUAACUCGCGAGUUCUAUCUUUUUUAUUCAUUGCUUCCUAUGCUAAUUGUCAUUUAGUUCAGAGAACAGAUUCUCCUUUUUUUUUUUUCCUUCCUUAUCUGUGUCCAUUGGCUAUAAAAUGGAAAAGGUAAAUAAGAAGAGAAAUCUAGACGUGUGAGUUCAAAGAGUUGGUUGACUGCAAGAAUUUCAAACUGGAAGACAUAUUAGGUCAUCUUUCAUGGUAUUUCAAAGCUUGUACACUACAUUUCAGAUUGUUUGCCAAAACUUCAGUGAUGAAACAGGAAAAUGGAAAAAACCCAGUCUUCUUCUCAUGUUUCUUUUACGUUUUAUGUUUGUAGUCUAGUGAUAAGUUUAUGCCCCUCCUUUAUGGUAUUUGCACUAUUUUGGUCGUUCUACAUGCUGCGGUUAAUUUUCGAUUCUAUUUGGUUUUUACUCAAAAUAAAAAAAUAAUAAUAAUAAUAACUAAACCAAAAGUUUUUAUUAUUUUAAAUUAAUAACCGAAACUGGUUCAAACUAGUUAUUUUAGUUCGGUUCAGUUAAUUGAAGGAAAAAACCGAUUUAAUAAAACUAUCGAGUGUUAAAUCCCCUGCUGCGAAUCACUUCAUUCUAAUCCAGAAAUAGCAUAUUAUCCCGAACGUAAAUAAUAGGAGUAAUAGCAUAAAAAGGAAGGAAAAAAAAACAUAUUUUCUCCCGAUGGAAGCGUAAGUUUCUUCAAUAGGCUUUGUCCAUUGCAGAAGUGUUCCACCAGCGUCCAACAAUAAUGCAUCAUAUGCUUUUUUAACAUACUUUAUUGCUCCUGUAAUGUAAUGAAACAAAGUGAACGAAUCUGAUCUAUUGAAAUAGUGUACGCAUUUAUAUAUAUGUACUAAUAAAUAAAUAAAUAAAUAAAGCACUAAGUAGAAAGGAAAAGUGACCAGACCAGCAGAGUGGAUGGCAAUGGAAGAAGAGCUUGAUAGCUUCAAUUUGAUAGGUUUCAGAGCUUUAAGCAAAUAGUUCCCAUGACAUUGGCCAAACGGGAAAUGGAGAUUUAGGAAUGGAAUUGAGCAAAAUAAAAGAAAGAUAUACCUUUAAAGAUUGCUAGAUACCUUUGUUUUUUCUCGAGACUUUGAACCUUAAAACUGGAGAAGACAAGAAACCAGAGAAGGGGAGAUGCGAGAACUGAGAUAGAGAGAAAACCUGGAGGAGGGCGGCGGCUGGGUUUGACUUGGCCUUUAGAGUUAGAAGAAAAGUUUAUAUUUAUACUGUUUUUCUUUCAGUGGUGGUUUUCUUGCUCACCCCUAAUUACCAUGUCGUGGAACAAAUUAGGAUAAGAGUUGUAUUGAUCUCAAAUAAGCUGAUGCCGUCGUACCAGAGAGCUCAUGAAGAAAAAAAUUGAGGAGUUCCAGUGAAGAUGAUACGCAGAAUAAUCUUGAAUUUAGAACAGUACUAGUUGGCAAAGAAGGAACAAAACUGAAAUGCAUGGUAAAUGAUUUAAAAUUGUGAGAAAGAAAUCGGGAUUCAAUGAUUUUGUUUUGAAUUUGAUGUUCUUAAUUCCUUUCUUCUUCCCCCGUGUCUCCAACCCAACGGUGUCUUGUUUCUGAGUAUGAAAGCAGGAUUCAAUGAUUUUGCUUUGAAUUUGCUGUAAUCAAAGCAAAAGAGGAACUGCUGGCUUGCCCUGAAACUAAGAAACUAAAACACGACAGCAUUUUGGAGAAUGGUGAAGCUGUUUGUGUGAAAUAGGUUAAGACUCAUUGUCCAGUGAGGACUUCAACAUUUGGCAAAUGAAUAUCACUUCGAGGAUAGAACAGAUACGAGGAAUAAAGCUAAAAACCGCAACUUUGCUUGACUUUUUCAUAUCUUCAAUCAUUUUUUCUUGGAACUCCACUAACAAUUGAAAAUGGCCAAAAUGCAUGAAUGAGGCCUUGAUACUGUGUUUGUCUCAUCUCUUUGUCGAUGCUUUAUUCUUGUCUGUACAUGUGAUUUAACAGGUAGACUAAAGCUCCUUUCUCCAAUGUAUUCCAUUCCUUAAGAUGCCAUUGAAGUCUUCCAUUCAUUUAUGAUUCCUUCUUCAUAUUCCUUAAUCAAUGGUGUUAGAUAUUGUUCUCAGCUUUUCUUACGAUGGUUAUUGACAAUUUAUCAUAAGGAGAUCUAAUGGCUGAAAAGCAAGUAACCAAGGAUGGAUAAUUAUUCUACACGCUACUAUAAAUUGAUCUAAAGGUCUUCAGACAGUAACCCUUUCCCCGAUUUCUUCUGUUCAUCUUUUACGACCACUAAUCAUUGCAUGCCUUGCUAGUUGUAUGAUCAAACAAUUGCUGGCCAGGUUACGUACUUUCUUGUGAUCCUUUUGAGUAUUCUCUUUCGCAAUCACUUGAACAUAUUGCUGGCCAUGCCGUUUCUCUUCGAGUUCAGAGAUCUCAGAUUAGAUUCUUCCAAUUUAACUUUCUUUUGCUUUUGGGUUUAUCUUUUAUGACUUCUCAUUGCUGCGUGACAUAUUUCUUGUGGAAUCUUUAAGUGUUGUGUGCAUUAGCAGAAAAUAAAAGGAAAAAAAUAAUCUUGACACGAUCCCAACGAAGAAGAGUUGAUUGCAAGAUUGUGGUCUGGGAAAAAAACUGAUUUCUUAAGCAAUAACGAUCUCAAAUUAACUUGCCUAAUUAUUGUAAUGCUAUCCGAUUGUAAUUCGCUGUGGUGAAGCUAUGCUUUCAUGCAUCAAAUUUUAUGCCAUUUGAUCACAGAGCAUACCGCUUGAUAGGCUAUGAACUCUAGAUUAAUAAAGUUCAGCAAUAUUCUUGCUCUGGUAGUCUAGGUCUACUUUAGCCAUGGAGACAAUAUAGUUGUGAAGUAAAUGAUUAGAAAGAUGAGAGAAGCAGAGUACUACACUAAUUAUAAGACUUCAUUAAAACCACACCAGAGGCCACAGACAUGGCCAAUACAUAACAAUGAAGAAGACACAAAGAUAAAGACACUCACGGACACUUUUGUUUGUUCACUCCACACCCACAAGUACAGAAGAACACAGAUUAUUUAUCAGAAAUUACAUUAUUAAUCCACUCCCAAUCCCACAUCAAACAUGAUAGUUGAUGUGCUUGCUUAAUGACCGCAUGUGCAGGUAGUGCAAGUGCAGCCAGUACCGCAGUUGCACUUGCCAUCGUUCUCAGCUGCUGGCACCUCCAUGACUACGGAGGAGACAUAGCUGCAAAAAGAAUUAGACUCCAUUGUAUUAGCAUCGUGUUCCCAUUUCCUUCAUUAUCAAUCUUAACUGACGAACCAAAAAUGUUUAGGAAUAAAGCAAUAUAUAUUAUUCAUUCUGCUUAUUAAUCAUCAGUGCAUGCUGAAGCUUCAAUCAUGUCUCUCAACGCUAAUUAAGACUACGACAACAGGACUUUAAAGAUAGAGAUGCGAAAGUUACUUCUUCUCAGUCUCGACGAUGCCAG